CGGCGUGGUGAUUGAGGCUCGCCAGCCGAGAUCCAAACGGGACGCCGGAGAUGUCGUAUUGAAUGAGACGAUAGACGUCGACAACGGUGGCGGCGUCACAGAGCUCGACGCAAGCGACAAGUAUGAAGACGAGGGCUAGCAUCGAGUAGACGGAGUCCAGCAUGUCGCGCUCUCGAGCUUUUCGAUGAGCCAUUUGUGAAUUUUGAUCUAGGGUUAAUAAAAGGUAACGAGAUUGUUUCUUAAAUCGGUGAAUAAAUAUUAUGGCUCCUUUCGAUUUGAUCUGGUGAUUAUAAUAAUUAAAAUAGAAAAUUAAUUGCGAUCAGAGAGACACUUGACAGAGAGUGUUUUGUUUCCUUUUUGUUUUGUUUGGUUAAUAACAGUGCGACUCACUCUUACUGAGAUUCCGAUGCUUGUUGCUCUAUAAUUUUCUCACGUUAAUUUGGAGACGUCACUUGUUCGUUGGAUUCACACUUCAUUUUAUUUAUUUAAAUUUUACAGUAUACGGGUGAUCUAGUGGGCGUUACGUUGUGGACUUGUUGCGAAAAACGCCUCAAAGUGAAGAAGGUCCAAUGUCCAAACAAGGGGAACUGAAGAUUUUGGCUCUAAAGGGCUUUCGUAUUGCUCGAUUUUACAAGUUAUCUGUUAUUGUAUUUGUUGGAAGUACCAAAUAUAAUUGAGGGAGAUAAUUCAAAAGAGUUAAUUUAUUAUAUAGCUCGCACGGGUUAAUUGCACAUCAGCAUUUGAUGAAGUUAAGCCCAGGCAUCUCUACUGCACUUUCUUCUCUUUAAGAGUUCAGUAGGAUCACAGUAGAUCAAUGAAGUGUCUUUUUUCUUUUUUUUAGAAAUUAUCAUUCAUAUGUCUUAAAUUUAUUAUAUUAUUAAAAAUAUUAUAACACUUUAAGGGUGUAUCAAUCGUCCACUUUAAGUUGACAAAAAUUAUCUGUCAACCAUUAAUCCGUUAGUUGCCGUUUGUAAGUGCUGACAUCAUAAGGGUAAUCUAAUCUUUUAAGAUAAAAGAAACUCCUAUAAAGAAUGACAUGUUGUUCUAUAUAAAACUACAUGUCAUCCCAUAUAAAACAAUAUGUCAUCCUAUGUAGAACGAUAAAAAGGACAUGUCGUUUCUAGAUCAGUGAAACGACAUCGUUUCACAAUAUGAAAUGGCAUCAUUUCACUAGAACUUUAAAAAAAAAAAGGUGUGGACAGAGGGGAUGCAGUGUAGGACCAACGAGGGCUCAAGCCCCCACUGAAAAAAAAAGAAAAAAGAAUUACCCCUUUUUGUUUAAAAGAAAAAUUAAUAAUUUUUUAAAUAAUCCAUGUCAAAUUAUCAAAUAGCCUCAUUCUUCCAGUUUCUACAGCCACAGUAGAGAGAACAUUUUCAGCAAUGAAAUUUGUGAAGAAUGAACUUCGGAAUCGGAUGGGAGAUGAAUGGAUAAAUGAUAAUUCGAUUGUUUAUGUAGAAAAAUAUGUAUUUAAUAGUGUUGAUAAUGAGUCUAUUGCACAACGUUUUCAGAAUAUGAAAUCGCGUAGAGAACAAUUGUAAAUGUGUUAUCAAAAAUUUUAUAUAUUCAAGUUUCAGUUUUUAUAUUUUGCUGUUAUUUAAUUUAGCCAUUGGUGAAUUAUUUUUCUAAAUCCGCCACUGGGUGUGGAGAUGUGAUUAACUGAUUUUGGGGACUAAAGUGAAAUCAAGUGAGAGUUGUGUGGUUCAUUGUGCAGAUUGCAUUCAGUUGAAGGAUGUGUUUGUAAAUAUCUGCUGACGUGGCCUGAUUGUUAAAGUUCGUUAUAUGGUUUCUGGAAAUUUUCCAGGUGAAGCUGGCUUGUAGCAUCUUAUAUAUAAGCUCUUUCUCACUCAUUUCUUCUCCAAUUAGAAUAAUUAUUCUACACACAUAAUUCUUGUAAUCUUCUCUUCAUUUAUGAUUGACUUUGUACUCAGUUUUAAUGAAUGAAAGAGUGUGAAUUUUUCCUUCAAAUCUGUUAUCUAGUUCUCUGAAAUCUUGUUCUGUUUUUCUGCUCUUUACUCCGAUCUUUAUCAAUCUUGUUUCAAUUCCAUCUUGAUUAAUUAAAUGUUGAAGUGUUGAGUUAGUUCUUGUAAUUAGCCAUUCCAAAAUAUAACAAAAAACAAUCAAAUUGAAACACGCACAGCACACACGACUACGAACAAAUCUCUUCUUCUUUCACACACACAAUGCAAAAGAAAAGUGGUAGCUGACAGCACUAAUGAUCGAAGACGGCACGGUAGACAUAGAGGCAGCCCAUAGUCACCAAUGCAGCCACAACCAUUGUCAUCGACGCAGCUCGCAGCUCACCCAUCGGAUCUGCUGUUUUGCGACUGGUUUAAGCUUUAACCUCAAUUUGACUGAAUUUGAGUUAAGUAUAAGACGCACAUGAACUUCUUGCAUGAGAUGGUGACAGUAUUUACAAAGUGUCCGCAUUAAUUUGGUUUUUAAGAAUUCUUUCCUUUAUUGUUUCUUACAGUAUUUGGAGUUAUACUUGGUUGCACUUGAAAAUCUUGUUAAGUUAGUGUAGUAUGUGAUCCUACCCAUUUUACCCUUCAAUAUAUUCUCAGGAUGCUGUAGUUCGCAUAUGCACAUAGUGAGGGAUUCCUCUAUUUAUAAUUAAAAAAUUCCUAAUUUUUUCUUUCAAGCAAGUUCAAUAACGUUUUCGUUUCGUGACUGAACUUUUGAACAAGAGCAGCAGCCUUAUGCACAAACCUGGCGGGAACAAGCUGGGAAUAAGAGGAACCAAUAUGCAUACAAAUGAAUAAACACUAGUACUGUUAGUAGUUUGAGGGCUUCAUGUCUUGACAAUUUCUAUUCAUUGUCUACUUAGCCUACCAAUUAGACCAAAGUUAAUCGCAUGGGCCAAUGAAAUCUCUUGACCAACAAAAUAAGAAAGUCUCUGCUGGAUCAGAAAGUCUCUGCUGGACCAGCAGCACAAUUUUUUUGUACAAUAUCUUUGAUUCGCAAAACGAAUAACUCAAUUUCAAAUUAAAUAAAUGGAAAGUGAAGAAACGUAAUUUGUUGUCCUUGCACAAAGUAUUUUAGGCGUCGUGAAAACUAUAAAGAAAUUUUUUUAUAGAGAAAAAUUUUCAGACAGGCAUUAAAAAAAUUAAAUCUAGAAUGAAGAUACUUUGGCCUGUGGAUUUUAACAUAUUUUUUAAAAUGUAAAAAAAAGAGAAGUGGAAAGUGUAAUUUAGCUAAUUAAGAUACUUACAACUUGCUAUUGGAUCUCUGACAUUUAAUAUAUAGUUGUAUGAAGUUUCUUUUUAUUAGAACUGUUACGUUUUAUUUAUCAGAAAAUUUUGUUACCCCCUAAUUUACAGUAUUUCAUUUUAACCAUCUAACAAUUUUUUUUUUUUUUAACCACUGCUCUCGUCCUUUCUUUCUUCCACUUUUUUUUUUUUCUAUUUCUUUUUCUAUUCUUCUUUAUCUAUUUUGCCUCUCUAUAAUUUCUCUCGACCUCAAUUUCUAUUUAUUUCCCUCUUCUAUCAUUUCUAGUUUGCUCUCAGGCUCUCCAUUUUCCUCCCGAGGUUAGUUUCUUGCCGAAAGGGAUAGGUGUUGUCUUAUAUACUUUUUUAGUUCUACAAUUAUGAAUUAAUUACGUUGAAUCUAAUUUCUCAUAAUUAUCCUGGCAUAUUUCUGUUAUCAGAAAAAAAAAAUUGACAGCUAAAAUUAAAGACUAAAAAUAUAAAUAAAAAAUCAUUUCAGUAUUACCUAUUUAUUAAUAAUUUUGUUAACCGAUAAUUUAAUAUAAAAUUUUCUACAAAAAUAUGGGUGUUUAAAGAAAUUUUGUGGGCUUAAAUAACCCCACUUUAAUGAAAAUAAUUUCGUGGACCAUUUUAUGUUUUACAUAAACAAAUCUUUGUUACUUAAUUUUUUUUCUCUCUUUCAUUUUGAAUAUUUUUCCCCGUUAUUUUAAAUGGGCUCAUAGAAGAGAAUUGUGCAGUCUACAUGAUUUUCAUUAGAAUUUUAUUUGUCUUUUAAAGUAAUUUCAUAUGUGGUUUAAGUUGUAAGAACCAAAAAAAACAGGGGUCUUAAUAAGGAUUAUUGAAGGCCCAAUAGUGCUACUCAAAAUGAAAAAAUAAAAAAUAAAAAGUGUAUCGCUCUUGCAACCGAAUCUUGAAUAAUCACGGAUUGAUUGUUUUAAAACUUCUCCAUAGAGUUCAAAAUUUAACAGUGAGAACUAUAACAACUAAAUUUUCAAAAUUUAUAAAUCUAUUACCCUCUAAUUUACGAUGUUAUUAUAACCAUCCAAUACAUAUUUUGAUAACUUCUUUUUUUCCUCUUUGUCUCUCGGUCUUUAUUUCUUUCAUUUUAAUUUUUUCCUUUCCUUCUCUAUCUAUUUUACUCUUUAUAAUUUCUGUCGACCUCAAUUUCUACUUUCUUCCUCUUUUAUCUUUUCUAAGUUGCUCUCAGUCUCUCGAUUCUUUUGAAUGCUUGAAAAUGAAAUAAAUUUCCAUUUUUUUGAUACGCAAUCAAACAGGAAAACAGGUCGUCAAUUCGCAUGAAGUAGGUAGCUAAAUUUAUUUUCCUCCAAAAUUAUCCACGAGUUCGACUUAUAUUAAUGUGUCACAAUCUUCCAAUCUAAUAAUGCAAAUUGAAAGUUCCGAUGAUAUUUUUAUGAUUAACUUGGGGAAAAAAAAAUCUUGAGAGUCUCCACUCGUUUGAUUCUGACUCUUCCAUGGAUUCUUUGCUUUGCAAACUUUUCUUAAUUGUAUGGUUAAAAGAUUAACAGUUAGGAGUGAUAAAAGAACUUAUGUCUGUACUAAAAGCUAAAGAUGAGAUUAUUUGAAACCACUAAAUUGUUUUUUACACCCAUCAUAAAAAUAUAAUAAUUAUUAAAAUUUUAAAAUCUUAAAAUUGCCCAUUAAUUUUCUUCUCUUUCUUACAGUGCUUGUUCUCCCUCAACAUCACUUUUUGCAAAUUAAAAACUUAUGGUUUCACUCUCUUUGGCCAUGGAUUUUUUUUUUUCAUAAAUUCCACUACAUUUUAUUUGUGGCAUUUGAAUUGCGAUUUUUUAAUUUUAUUUUCAAUUUGAAGCAAAGAUUUGUAACUUUACACAGAUUUAUAGGAAAACAAAAAAUUUGUUGCUUUCGUGGUUACUUAAAAUUCUUGAUACUCAUUUUUGGAUGGUGGAUUUGUUCCUAUAAAUUGAAGAAAGAGUAGUUAUUAACUUAUUAUUAUUAAGCUGUUGGUCAAAGAGCUUUUGAAUAAGAUCAGUGAGCCAAAUGGUUUGCUGAGUUUAGUAAUUCAGCCUCUAAAAUUUCUAAGCGAAGCAUGCAAACCCCUUUGGCCCUGAGAACCCUAGUCUUGAAGCGGUUCGAGCCACUAAGCCUUGAUUUGACAUUGGUUAUAGCCUAUAGGAAAAUUAAUUUCAAUUAUUUAUGAGAUUUCACAUUCAUUUGUAGACGAGAAAAUCGAAAGAAUUGAUUAGAGCUGAGAGAGAGAGAGAGAGAAUAGAGGUUAAUUAGGUAAUUUUAUCAAAAUUAAUUUGAUAAUUAAUAUUUUAAUUAAACAAGAAGGCAAAGAGAAGAAAUUGGUGAGUUUAAAUAACUCCACUCAAGGCUAAAACAUAAAUUCUCGAACGUCAAAAAAUAUUUUUACCCUCUAAUUUACAUUAUUUCAUUUUAAUCCUCUAAUGCAUUUUUGUUCUCUAGUCUUUUUAUUUAUUUUUAUCUCUUUUCUCGGCCUUUUUUUCUUCCAUUUUAAUUUUUCUAGCUUGUUCUUUUCCGAUUCUUCUUUAUCUAUUUUACUCUCUAUUUCUCGGGACCUCAAUUUCUAUAUUCUUCGUUUUCUACAGUUCCGAGUUUGCUCUCAGUCCCUGGAUUCUUGAAUGAUUGAUAAAAUGAAACAAAUUUUUGUUUUUUUUUCCCACUCAAUCAAACAAGCAAACAGGUCACCAACUCUUCCCAUGAAGCAGGCAACUAAGUCACGUUAUGUGAUUUAGUGAUAAAUGCCUAGUACUUCAGGCUAAUUGCAAGUCCACUUACGGAACCAUAGCAGUCAAUGACACGGAAAUUUCAAAUGAUGGUCCAGAAUUCGAAAUGAUCGGGCACGGAAAAAUUGCCAAAAGGCAAAAGGUGUGGUCAUAAAUACAUUUCAAUUUUAAAUUAAUUAGAUUGGAAAUAUCGUAUGAAUAAACAGCGGACCUUAUAGCAACCAAUAUGAUAUCAUUCUCUUAUGCACAUUUCGUUUUCUUAUGCAUGUUUGCUGCUUUGCCAUAUCAUGCCAAAAUCAAGAAAUUACCCAUUUGUAAAUCUUUGACAUAAGAAUUAGUUAAAUAAAAAUAUAAAAUAAUAAAAAUAUAAAAUAAUAAAAAUAAGUUUGGUGAUGUAUUCAUUUAACCACUCAUAUAAUGUCACAUCAAUUGGUAGUUUGGUACAAAAAAAUUAAUAGUUAUAACAUUGCCCGUUUGCUUUAUUCAAUCACAAUUUUCAUACCACAUCACUUUAUAGUUUGUGCGUAUUUAUGCAAAGUUUCUUUUUUUCAACCAAGUUUCUUUUUUCAACCCCCUGAUUACUUUAAUUCAAAAAAAAGAAGCUUGGAUUAGUUUAAUUUUCUGUGUUGGGCGCUAUUUGAACUUAUUUAUACGACUUUUAUGUGUUAACUCUCUUUAUAUGGACAUGUGUAUUAUGGGUGAUGAUGUCCACCCCACUUUUAGAAAAUAAUUACAAAAAGUUUUCAUUAUUUUUAAAAAUUUCAAAUAAAGAAGAAUUCAAAAGAAUUAAUCAAUUAAAUCUAUCUUAAUUUAUUUUGUUGUAACUUAGUUUUUUUUAUAUGGGACUAAUAAGAUUACUUAAACCUAAAUUUAAAUUGACUAUUUUUAAUUAAACUGGCAUAAUGUCUUUAUGAGAAAAUACUCAUUAAAUUAUUAGGCUGUCAAAUUUAUGUCAUUUACAUGUAAAAUGUUGAAAAUUAUUAGGCUUCAUUUAAGAAGCUAGAUUAUAAGUCACAAAAUUAAGUAUCUAAAGUAUUAGAUACAAGAACAAAUUUUUUUUUGGCCCAAUGGGUCAUUUUAUGUCAUAAAGCAAAAUAAUUAAAUAGAACUUAUAUUAAAGCUCCUUUAAUGGUAAAAAACAACUAAGAAAAAAAAUAUAAGAACGAUUUAAUUGAUUAAUUACAUUAUUUUUUUUGUUGAUUUUUAUUUAUUAGAAAAAUGUGUAUUUAUUAUAAAUAUUUUUUAGAAGUGGGAUGGGUUUAUACAAAUAAUUGGGUGGAAAUAUCCCACCCUUGUACUAUGUUGUAUAUAAUAUAUGGCCCCUCCAAAAUCAUCUUAAAAUUUUUUUCCAAUUAUAUUGCCUUUAAUGCCAAAAAUACAUUUUUUUUUAAAUAAUCUCCUUUUUCAAAUAUGCUCUCUCAACAAAAAUAAAAAACACUAGCUUCCAAAAUUAAAAAUAAUCAAAUUUAAAAAAGAAAACAAGUUUGAGCAAAUUAACUGUAUAGAUGAGACUACAAGAGAGAGAGAGAGAGAAACAAAUUUGAUUCAAUUGGUUUUGUGCUAGUAAGGGAACUAAAACUGAAUUUUAUUGGCUUUUCUUGAGUUGCAGCAAAUGAUUCAACCUUGGCAAAUCUUUCUUUUGACUAUAAUACCAUUAGUAAAUAGUAAUUAAAAAAAUUAGCUUUAAUUUUUUUAAUAAAUAUAAAUAUAAUUUAAAUAGUUUAACUUGUCUAUUAGUCAAAUAAUAUUAAAAUUUUUUAAUAUACAAAAUAAUUUUCAACAUAUAAAUUAUGAUAUAUUUGAAUCAUAAUUUGUAUUUAUUAUAGAAGUUCUAAAUAUAUCUUUGGUUAAAUAAAUUUUACAAUUAAUAAAAUGUAUCUAAUUUAUUAACAAUAUUAAAAUUAUUUUAUAAAAUAUUGAAAAUAACUUAAAUUUUGAUUUAUUUAUUUUAAUAUUAUGCUUCUAUUUAUUUGGCUUAAUAUAUUAUAAGAUUGUAAAGUAUUCAAAUAUUUUUUAAAUAUUGAAAUUAUUUUAAAUGUAUAUAUUAUACAUUUACUUUAAUAUUAUUCUUCAAUUUAUAAUGAAACAUUGGAGUUAAUUUUUUUGAGUUAAUAGAGCACCUUAGUCAAAAUGAAGUCUUGGUAUCCUUAUUGAAAAUAUGAAGGUUAGUAUGACCAUUUCUUAAAAUCUUAAACGAGUAGGUGCCUUUUUCCUAAAUGUAAUUAUAAUAAAAUAAGAGUUUUAGAAUAAUUUUAGAGGGUCUUAAUAAUUCCACUCGUUUGCCAUUAUAAAAGAGUAGAAUGUUUAAAAAAAAAAAUGGUGAAUCAUUCUCAAACUUUAUAAAUCUAUUAUCCUCUAAUUUAUUUACCGGAUAUGAUUAUCAGUCAAACAAGCAAACAGUUUAUCAAUCUGCACGACGUAGACAGCUAAAUUGAUUUUCCUCGAAAAUUUUCCAGGAGUCCGCGGAGCUUAUGUUAAAUGUGACACAAUCUUUCAAUCUAAUAAUGCAAUUUGAAAGUCCACCUGCCUGGGGGACCAACCCCAAGCAGUUAAUUAAUGACUUUGAAGAUUUGAUGUUUGAAAGUGAUGAGCACGGAGAUUUCUUGCAGAGAAAGUGAGGUCAUUAAUAAUUUUCAAAUAUACUAUUCCAAGUUGAUUAUAUAUGGGCAAACAGAGGAUGACAAUAUAAAUAUCAAGCAAUAUUAUAACAUAUUCUUGCAAAGCAAACUUCCUUUUCUUAUAAUUAAUUAAUAUAACUUCUAUCGACAGAAAUGAAAUCAACUAUCAUGAGUGUUUCGGUUGCCAUUCUUUUCCUUGAGUUAUUUGUUGUAGCUGCCAUGAUCAACAUCAGCUUCUGCAACGGCAACUCUUACGUGGGUUGCAUAGACAGUGAGAGAGAAGCGCUUCUAAAGUUGAAACAAGAUCUCAUAGAUCCUUCCAACCGUCUUGCCUCUUGGAAUACUGGUGAUGGAGAUUGCUGUAAAUGGGCUGGUGUUUUUUGUAGCAACAUCACCGGUCAUGUCCUUCAGCUCAGCCUCCAAAAUCCUUUUAGUUAUCUUGGAGGUGACUUACGAGAGGUCAAAGCUGGAUCUAAUUACGAGAGGUCAAAGCUGGGUGGUAAGGUAAAUCCAUCUCUGGUUGAUUUAAAGCAUUUGAUUCACUUGGACUUGAGCGGUAAUGAUUUUGAAGGGAUCCAAAUUCCCAAAUAUCUUGGUUCUCUUGAGAACCUAAGAUACCUCAAUCUCUCUGGAGCCAAAUUUGCCGGAAUGAUUCCUCUCCAACUUGGAAAUCUCUCUAAUCUGCAAUAUCUUGAUCUCAGUGGGACAUUUUUGAGUAAUUAUGAUUUACACGUUGACAGUCUUUCAUGGCUAUCUGGUCUUUAUAUGCUAGAGCAUCUCGAUCUGAGUCAAAUGAACCUUAGUAAAGCCUCUGAUUGGUUACUUGUCACAAAUUCACUCCCUUCUUUAAAAGUAUUAAAGCUGACCAAAUGCCAACUCUGUCACUUUCCUCCGCUGUUAUCCGCAAAUUUUUCCUCCCUUAAAGCCCUUCAUCUUGCAAUCAACAAUUUUGAUAAUUCUUUGUUUCAAUAUGGCAGCUGGGUUUUCGGUCUCCGUAAUUUAGUCUUUAUUGAUCUGAGCUCUAAUCAGUUUCAAGGUCAAAUCCCCAUCGGACUAAGAAACUUGACAUCUCUUCGACAUCUUGAUUUACGUUUCAACUAUUUCAAUUCUACAACACCAGGCUGGUUGUCUAAGUUCAAUGAUCUCGAGUUCCUCUCUGUUGCAUGGAAUUCCUUGCAAGGUACGAUUUCAUCAGUUGGUCUAGAAAACUUGACUUCUAUCGAAACACUCGACCUUUCUGGAAACUCUAAACUUGGAGGGAAGAUUCCAACCUCAUUUGCAAGACUUUGUAAGUUGACAUCAGUCGACCUCUCGUUAAUCGAUUUGAGUCAAGACUUCUCACAAGUCUUAGAUACUUUCUCUUCCUGCGGUGCAUAUGCACUAGAGUCACUGGAUUUGAGCAUUUGUCAAAUUUCUGGUCACUUGACAAAUCAACUCCUGCAAUUUAAAAGUCUGCACACUCUUGAAUUGGGACACAACUCUCUUUUCGGUCCACUUCCACCUGCUCUAGGAGAGCUUUCCUCUUUGAAAAAACUAGAUCUUUCUAAUAACAUGUUGAACGGUUUUAUUCCAUUGUCUUUGGGAAAACUUUCACACUUAGAAUAUCUAGACUUGUCUAACAACAAGUUGAAUGCGAGUCUUUCUGAAAUUCACUUUGUCAAUCUAACAAAAUUGACUUGGUUUUCUGCAUCUGGAAACUCUCUAAUUUUGAAAUUCAAUCCAAAUUGGGUUCCUCCUUUUCAACUCGAAACAUUGCAAUUGAGGUCAUGUCAUUUAGGGCCUCAUUUUCCAUCGUGGCUUCAUUCACAAAAGUAUUUGUCUUUCUUAGACAUAUCCAACACAAGAAUUACAGAUACUAUUCCUCGUUGGUUUUGGAAUUCUUCCCAUUAUCAGGAGCUGAAUCUCUCAAACAAUCAAAUCUACGGUGUUAUUCCAUAUUUUGAUCACCGUCCAUUGCCUUAUCAACCUUUCGAGUUUGGUUUACUUGAUCUUUCUAAUAAUGCUUUAUCGGGGUCUAUUAUUCAUUUAAUAUGUAAUGGGGAUAAUAAGUCGGUGAUCAUUUCUCUCAAACUCUCAAAAAAUUACUUUUCUGGAGACAUACCAGAUUGUUGGAUGAAUUGGCCUCAUUUGCAGGUGCUGAAUUUAGAUGACAAUUACUUUACUGGUAACCUUCCAAUCUCAAUUGGAACUUUAAGUUCUCUUAGGUCACUGCACCUUCGCAAUAAUCGAUUGGCUGGAAUAUUUCCCGUGUCACUUAAGAAUUGUUCGAGUUUGAUAUCUCUUGACAUUGGAGAAAAUGACUUUUUCGGCAGCAUUCCGACAUGGGUGGGAGAAAGAUUUCCAAGAUUGUUGACUCUCAAUCUUCGAUCAAACAACUUUCAUGGAUCUUUGCCAGUUCAACUUUGUCAUCUAACUUUUCUACAGAUUUUAGAUGUUGCACAUAACAAUCUCUCAGGGACCAUACCGAGAUGUAUCAACAACUUCACCGCUAUGGCGACAAUAAACUCAUCUAAUCAGAAAAACGCUAUAUAUUACUUUGUUACGAGAGGCAAUAUUGUCUUUGAGGACGCAUCCGUUGUGACAAAAGGGCUUUUGGUUGAAUACAACUCCAUUCUUAAUUUGGUAAGAAGCAUUGAUAUUUCCAAGAAUAAUUUCUCAGGAGAAAUACCUAUGCAAUUGACAAAUCUUGAAGGAUUGCAAACCUUGAAUUUAUCACACAACUUUUUCGUAGGAAAAAUUCCAGAGAAUAUUGGAAAUAUGAGAUCAAUUGAAUCCCUUGAUUUCUCAACAAAUCGACUUUUUGGUAGGAUUCCUCAAAGUAUGUCAAGUUUAUCAUUUCUUAAUCACUUGAACCUGUCAGAAAAUGACUUGUCUGGGCAAAUUCCUUCAAGCACUCAGUUGCAAAGCUUUGGUGCAUCUUGUUUUUCCGGUAAUGAUCUCUGUGGAGCGCCACUUCCUGAUUGUACAGAGAAGAAUACUUUUGCACCUGAAGUUCCGAAUGGAAAUGGAAACGAAGAUGAAGAUGCAGAUGAAGUGGAUUGGUUGUUGUACGCAAGCAUGGCACUUGGAUUUGUGGUGGGUUUUUGGUGUUUCAUUGGCCCUCUACUUGUCAACAGGAGAUGGAGAUACAAGUACGGUCAUUUCUUGGAUGGCUUUGUGGAUAGAUUUUGCUACUUUGUAAGAAAAUGUUACUAGAUUUUUUCAUGUUUUCCCUUGUGUUAUUUUAUGUAAUUUUUUAAAAUUAUUGUUCUAUAUACUGCAGAUAAGAAAUGAAGUGUUAUACAAUAGAGGGGAAGGAUUUUACAUUGGCGGCCUCUAAAAUUUUACAAAUUUUCAAACCAAGUUUCACAAAUUAGCUCAACUUAGCAAGGGUCCAGAUUUUUGAAUUAAAUGCAAAAGUAAUAGAACUAAAUGGGAGAGCUGUUGAUUUGAUAGUUCAGUCUUUUAUAUAAAAUUUAUGUUUCUUCCUCUUAAAGAAAAUUGUUCUUUCAUCAGAUAAACUUCAUCCUGCAUUGCUAAUUUGUUCGUGCAAUCAGAGAAACAUAGAGCUGAAUCUAAUGAAGACUAGAUCAAGGUGAAGGAUGCUUUCAAGAGGAAUCACAGUUGAGUCACUAAAAUCACAGUUGAGCCACAAAAUUUGUAAUUCAAAUUAUUGCCGCAUACAUGCUAAUAGUUUACCCAUACUCUCGCAAACAAUUUUGAGGACUGACAUCCCAUUACAAAUGAUUACUGAUAACUCAAAUUUAUCAACCUUAUCUUGCUAAAAGGCCCUAAACUGUGCAAGUAUUACAAACUCGGAUGGUUCCAUAUCAUCUAUCAUAACAACAAUUUUUUUUUUUUUUUCAAGCAGUCAUCAUCUCAUGGCAAUUAAAAGAUUGGCAUAAAAGUUGUAGGAGUUUGGAAGACGUGCCUGAUAGUAGCCUACAAGUCUCUGAAGUUCAAAUUUAACCAGUCAAAUUGGCCCAUAGAGCUAUUCGAGAAACUGAAUCAUUCCACUUAGAUUUUUUGGGCGCUUUUUCCACUAGAAGCUUGAUGGUAGCCCAUACAAAUUAGUCUUUGGGAAGUACUUUCUGCUUGAAAAUAUUUCAGAAUCAAGAUGAAAUACUCCAAGAGAAUACUAAUAUGGAUAAUUUCAGUCACUUGAAGUUUCCUCAUUUUCUGGAAAUACCAAUUGCAAGUCUUCAUUGUCUCUGUAAACUUGAACAAGUGCGGCAGCCUUAUAUACAAGCAUGCCAAACAUGGCUGCAACAAUCUGCGAUAAUGGGAAAAUUAAUAAACACAAUUUAUGUUAGCAAUUUUAGGGCUUCAUGAUCAAUUUGAAAACUUAUACAAACAGCCGCAGACAACACUAAAAAUUAUUUUAAUUGCUACCUGGAAAUCAAAGAAGGCAUUGGCAAAAUACCGAUGAGACAGAACCCACAAACCAUAUAUUGUAGCCGGGAUUACAAGCCUUGGAGAUGAAAGAGCAAGGCUACUUCCCUUGAAUGAUCUCUCUAAGAAGUACUUAAGGUCCUCGCUUCUUAUUCCAAUUCUACCAAAGAAAAAGAAAUGUUUGCUUAUGCAAGGAGGAGACAGAAAACAACUUAGCUACAAAGAUGCCAUUAAAUUUAAAAAAAAAGGGGGGCAGAAGAUUUAAUCUGUACUCCUUGGACUUCUUUUGCAUGAAAAUCUGAGGAACCAUUUCCUUGGACAGACGGUCUGCAUGUUGGAAUAAGAGCUGAAGGUACAAGCAACUGCACUGGAAAUGAGGUUUGUUAAACUACCAGAAUUAGGAUCAGUAAUAAGAACAGAUGGUCUCCUGCUGUUAAUAAACCUUUUUUUCAGUUUUCUGUCAAAAAAGUUGCUAAAAGCACUGCUCGAGUUCUCGGAGUUUUUCGCUUCCCUAAACUAGAAAAUGAGUUAUAUCUUUAAAUUCUUUGAGCGCUUUGGAGUCCCAAUUAGACCAAAUAAAGAUAACUCCUCCACAAAGAAAACACUCAAGGGAGUCUACUAAGUUGAGAAUACUUUAUAGAAGAUAUCUAUCCCCAUGGACCAUUUCUCCAGCUAUUGAUUUUUUAGGCCAAAAAAUCCUGUGGACGACUAACAGUAAUUUUUGGUGGAAACUUUACAUCUUACAUUAUCAUGGCUUCCUUGCAUUAUAAUAUCUCUAUACACUUAUUUUUACAUUAUUGGCAGGUAAAAGGUUGGAUCAAAAAGUUCCGUCCAAAUCACCAGGUAUAUUGGUAUUAUUGGCAGCAGAAUCUACCAUUCUUUUAGAUAACUGAUUGCACUAUUUACUAUUGCUAUUAUUCAUAGACCUUUCAUUUGAAUCAUAGCUCAAAAACUAGGACUCAGCACCGAGCUUACAAUUUGACAACCGACUCACCAACAUAUUAAUUUAACAGAUAUUAACCUUCUUCUAAAAAAAUAAAAAACAGAUAUUAACCUUAGUGAAAAUAGAUCAACUUACCCAGUGAUUCGGAAUGCUAAAGACCCUAAUAAAAGUUCCACUUUCUGUCUGGUCCUUGGCUUCAGGUAAACUAUAUUAUUCAAAGACGAAUCCUAAUGUGUGCUUAUCUGGGGCAAAGAAAUGGCAAAAGUACAAAUCAUCUGUUUUUGCAUUGUCACAAUGGUGGUCAUUUUUUCAGGCAGCUAGAAUUUCUUAAGUUAUUCCAGCUUCUAGCAUUUUUCAGCUUUCAGAGAUUAUUUAUGCUUUUGGGAGGAGGGGUGGUGGGGGGUGGGAGAAGCUAGAGUGUUACAGAAAUGUUCAGUUAUGUCCACUUAUUUGGUGAAUUGGCUUGAAAGAAAUUGAAGGAUGUUUUGAAGAUUCUGAGGAAGACAUCAUCUUUUUGUGGGAAAGAGUAGGAUUACUAGCUUUUCUUUGGGCGUCAUUAGAAAGGAAUUUCGAGAUUCUUCUUUCUUCUUCAUUUGUCUAAACUGGAAGCGGUGUUCACUUAGCUCAGUGCUUUGGAUUUGUUUUUGUUAUGAGAUCAUUUAGUCAUAUAGAUCCUAUAAUUAUUUGGUCAUAUUAUCAGCAUUGAACUGUAUAGACUUUUUGUGAUCUUUAGGGGUUCUUUCUUUGUGGACUCCUUGUUCACUUUCUGUAAUGUUUUUCUUUUUAAUAAAAAGUUUUAUGUUUCCCAUCAAAAAACACCAUAAAUAAAUAUAUGAAAAAUAAAAACAUCAGCUUACCUGAAAAGAACUCCAACCACAUAGCUAAAAGCCGCCUGUAAAAUUAACAAAGUCAUUUCUAUGUAAGCCCAAAAUUUACAAUAUUUCAUGAAUAUCUUACUUUACAUUUUUUUUUAAAAAAAAAAGUGAAUCCUUCCAAUAGAGUAGGGAAGAAAAAAAAAAUUUGCCUACUCUGUUGCAAUUUGUACAGUCAAACACUGAAAAUAUAUAAAAAUAUAAUAAAAAGUAGGUUUGAACCAUUGUCACCAAAUCCUCAUAUUCAUUUCUAAUCCAUACUUCCGUUAAAGAGGCUAGAGAAAGGUCUGAUAUAAAACAUUUUUUAAACUUGAAAUACUGGUGCUUUACUUUUCUGUGAGAUAUUACCUGGACUGAGAGCGUUAUCAAACAAUACCCACUCCAGGCAGUUCCAAUGCCAACUGACAAGAGCAUCAGUUCCCUCUUCAGCUGCAAGAUCAAAGUACGAAAAUCAGCAUCGUAAACAGCUUUUGUGGUACUAUGUUGCAGAAGCUAGCUUUUAGGUAAUAACACAACCUAAAAGUUCAAGCUGAGAGAUAAGAGCCUAAGACUACAGAAUCUAACACGUACCUCGCAUGCAAGGCAUGUAAAUCAAACAUAACAGGAACAUUGCUAUAACAAGAAGCAAACUCAAUGUUCUAAUAAUGAAAGUAACACAUCAGAAAAUCCAAAUACAAGACAGCUUGAUCAAACUAGCUCCACUAAAAGUUAAGCAGAUAGGUAGGACUCCAACAGUAGUUUUCAAAACCAACAAAUAUAAAUAUAAAAAUAAAAGCAUCCUGGAACAUACCCAGUCUGCGAACCCUUAGUUCUAUUACUGACUUUAACAUAAAACUGAAUCCCUUAGGUCCUAUCCUGGUUACUUGGAGAUCCAAUUGGAGAAAUAUUGGUUUCAAAACAGAAGCUUAGGUAACCAAAUUUGCAGCUUCAUUUGAAAACAGACAUCUCUUGAAAUGCCAUUUGCCAACAGAAAAAUAUGAACAACCUUUAACCAAAAUACAUUCACAUGGUGAGCAUCAGCUCAUUCAGCUCACAAGAUUAAAGUUACAGAUUUAAAUAUAAUGAAAUCAUAGGCCUAGAACCAAAAGGAGAGAAACCAGUCCGCCCUUGCACAUAUUUAUACAAUAUGUUCAUUUAUUAAUCAGUUUUUUCAAAGUUAGUUAGAUAACUACAAACAAUUUAUAUUUCAAAUGUAAAGAGAAUCUAACUUUAAAAGAAAUAAUGGAGCUAGAACUGAACAGAAAGAUCCCAAUUUCAGGCAUUGACAUCACAUCAACAACCAAUUAACCAUGAGAAAUACCGAUUUGAAGAAAGGUAUCAUACAGCUUCAUAUUUAAGAAGGUUCAGUCUCUUCCUUCUUUCACUGUCAUCCUGCAAAGCCUGUAUUUACAUGCAUUGGUUAGCAGUAUGAAAUUGCAGAUAUAAAACUUAAAACAAAUUCCCAUACUUUGCUGAAAUUGGGAGAAAGGGAGGGAAGAAGGAUGAAGAGAUGGGAAAGAGUGUUUACAAGCAAGCCCAUUAUAAUAAAAUGAUAGCCAAGAAAAAGCAUACCUUAGCAGAAGGUUUCUUAUUUAUUGGUGCGGAGUUGUCACCUAAUAGCCACUCAUGGGUUUUCAGUAAUUUCAAAAAUCCAUCAUCAUUGUCACUUUCUAUGACCUACAAAUAUUAGUACCAUCAAUAAAAGCACAAGCAAACUAAAUCACCUAAGACACCAGAAUAAAACAAACAGAAUGUCAUACACUUAGCAAUUAAAUUGAGGAGCCUUAAAGCAGAGAGUAGCUAAAACCAGUAUGGAAAUAUGUACACACUUUAAUUCAUAAAUGCGUCAAGAGUGGAGUUGAUGCCACAGUUUAAUGCUGAAGAGGUGAUAUAUGAGAGAUCAGAAUAAAGCAUCUGCAUCGUCAACUGCUUGAAAUUUCAAUGGAGCUUUUUAACAACACUGGGACCGAAUGAGUCCUCCUUCUAUAAACACCAGUUCUACCCCAGUCUAAGCCUCAAUUGUAAUAAGGAGCUGCACCUUGGGCGGUAAUUUAUUUCUCAUAAAAGCCUAGAAAGGAGAGUAUACAAGCUACUGCUAAUUCUAACAGAACACAGGCUUGGCGAAGUUUGAAAAUCCUUCAAGAUAUUGAAUGAAUCAAUUUGUUUUUUUCCCCCCAACUUGGCAUAACUACAUUAUUCAGUAACUUCUUAUUUGACACUCAUGAAACUAAAUAAAUAAAUAAUUUCGGAAGAUUUCUCAUUGAAACAGCUAAAUUGCUGCAUUAUUAGUGACAGAACCAUUCCAGAGUCCAUACUCCAAAGUCAGAACUUAAGAGACUCUAAGAACCACAAAAAGUACCGAGAAAGAUGCUCUAUAAACCAGAAUUGUUUGAAAUUAUCAUACUUCUAUACCACUACAGAGAACACGAAGCGAAAUUCUAAUUGGCAAUUGCAUAUCCCAAAAAAAAAAAAAAAAACAGAAAGAAAGAAGAAUACGAUACAUUCUUAUGAAUCAGAAUCAAGUAAGCCCUGGUGAGCUUGUUCAGAAUUGUCAGCAAAUUUCCCAGCAUCAGCAUCAAAGUCAACAAAUUUCAGAGCCCCCAUCAGCCAAAACAUAUCAGAAGUUUUGGAAAUAAAGUCACCAUUCAAUUCUCUAUCUUUAAAGAACAUUUGCAGAACAUCCUCUUCAGCAACUUCACACACUGAGAAGUAAUAAAAACAUAAAAACUGGAAUGGGAAUUGACUGGGUAGCAUUAGAAGCGUCACAAAAAAGGGGUGGUGACUGACCUGGACUACUGCUUGUUCUUAAGAGAGAAGAAGAGAAUGUUGGUGAUGUUUUCUUGGAAAGCGGCUUCUGGGUAUGAGGAAGUGGAGAGAAUAUUGGGAAAUGAGAGUGAGUGUAGUUUGUUAAGAAGCUAAUUCUUGAGAGAGCCUCCAUUUUUGUUGGGACUUUCUGGCUUGUUGCUUGGCUAAGCCCCACUCUGGUUUGAUGGAGAAUGGUUUGGAACAAAAGAGGCGUCAUCGCAUUCUCCUGUCGAGCACCAGCACCGCCGGCCGCUCGCUAUUUUUCUAUUCAUAUAAUUAAUUGUGAGGGAUAAUUUCAUGGGAAUCCGUGAGGUUCACUUAAUAUCAAUAAUACCAUAUAAGUUCUCAAUCAACAUUUGAACUUGUACAGUCAUAAACUCUCCAAAUUAAUAAAGUCCCACAUGUUGGUUUGUAAUUUUAUGAUUCUUAUAACUUUGUGACAAUUUAUGUCAGUUUGCACCAUGGUGUAAUAUUUCAACAAAAGUGAGAAAAAUGUGAAUAACCUUUUAUAAUUUUUUUUAUUUUAUUCAUCUUUAUAAUUAACCUAUUUAUUAAGUCAUAUGUCAUUUAUCUAUUAGAAUGAGAAAUUUUAUUUUACCUUUACUUAGAAUACCACCAUAUUACUUAGAAUGAAAUCUUUAGGGAUAUUAUAAACUAGAAAGUAUUGUAUUAAUAAUUUUAAUAUGGUUAAGUUUUCAAAUAUUCUCUUGUGAAAUAACAAUCUUUAAAACACUCCCAAACUGAUAAGUGAAAAAUGAGAGUGGGUUAACGAAAUUGUUUUUGCUUUCUUUAGAAAAAUAGGAGGAAAGUUGAGAUUUACAAUAAAUUUGAGAAUAUUUCGAAAAUUAUUAUUUCACAAAAGAGUAAUCCAAAAUUAACCACCUCUUACAAUAUAAAUAAAAGAAAAUGCAUCAAGAUGGUAAAUAUAAGCCAUGUGGACUUUUGUGAUUCAUAGAUUUUAUGUAGAAUCUGAUUGUAAUAUCAGUAACGAAAAAAAAAUACCAACAAAGUGUUGGCUCCACUGGCAAUGGAGUCCCUUUAAGUGGUUUGACUGAGUUUGCUACCCAGUUCGAGUCACAGGGAAGUCUCAUUUGUUGAGAGAACUUGUGCCUCUCAGUUCGAGAGGAGACUUCUAAUCUAGAUUGUGGUACAGGCUUAAAGGUGACUUCCACAGUUGGGGCCCUCCCCAGGAUACUUUGUGAUUAAUAUCAAAAAAAAAAAUCAGUAAAGAAAAAUAUUAUGUAUUAAUAUUUCUAAUUGAUUACGGGAAGAACAACGAAGGAAAAGCUUUCCAGAAUAUUAGCAACAAUAUAAACAAAUAUUAUGCUAAUCAAUGAUUAUCUUCGCUAUCAGAACCGUAUGAAACCAGACUUACUGUUACAGGGCAUUUAUUAUGAUCAGCAUCACCCCUAUUUCUUUUCAGCACUGCAGGUUCCGGAGAUUUUUCUGCCGCAUCAAUUUUUUUCAUCGUAUCUGAAGACGAUUCUGCUGCCACAAUCUGAACAUCUUUCUUCGGUUUCUUUGCCAGCGGCAUCACUUUCAUAAUCGAGCUCAAGGGACGAGACGCUGGAUUCUUCUUCCCAAUAAUUACUCUUUGUUGAUGAUGAUCAUCGUCAUGGCUUAUUAAUGUUUCCUUGGAAGCAACACAUUGUGCUGCCACGGCUGCCCUGAAACGCCGAAGCUCCAGGGCCUCUUCGUCAGCAAGCCGCCGCUCUUUUUCCUUCUUAUACGACUCCCAUCCGUCAAGAAACUGGGCCUCGUCUUCGUCCAAGAAUUUCGGAGGCUUGUGCUUCCGGCGGUCCUCGAGAUCCUUUUUCUUUUUGGCUUUGUUCUCGUUCAGUAUCUCGUGAAGAGGCCUGUCUCUCUGUGCUGUCCCUCUUCAACUCUUUCGCCUCUUGUCUUUUUGGCUUCAUCCAAUUGUUCUUCUGAUAUAAAGUUGAUCCUCAAUGCAUUAGUGCUGGUUGCUGUUGAUUGUUCAUCCGCCAUCUUCAAGAUCAAUCGAAAUCAAAAUCCAGUAUACCAAAAUCGAAGUAUCUAGAGAGGGAGUUAAUUAAAUAUAUAAUUUAGCUAGAACUUUAGACGAUGAUCAGUAUAACGAUAUGUGUGGAUCCGACUUACUUAUGUUAAUGAUUAUGAAUGACUACUUUGUGCUAGUGCUACUGGGACUCCGGAUAUUAAGUUGCCCGAACCCAAGUUGGGAAAGUACAAAAUACAAAAUCCUAACUACGUUGAAUUCCAAGGUUUUAAAAAUAAAAAUUAUAUGUAAUUAAAUUCUUUUUAUCUAUAAACACACGUGUGAUAAAAGAUUGUAAAAGCCUUGUCUCAGCUAAUUGACAAAUACUACAAAUCCGUUUCAAUUCUAUAAUUAUUUUUUUAUAUUUUUAGUUGUAAUUUUAGUUAUAAUACAUGAAAGAUUAUUUUCGAAUAGAUAAAUUGUUACUUGAUUGAACAAAAUCCUUAUAGAAAUUGGAGUAGCUAGCGGCUCUCGGUUCACUUAUUUCACGAAGAAAAAUUAGGAGACCCAACUAGCUAGAGAUAUAUGAUCAAAGAUAUUAUUGUCCCUGAAAUGGCAACCGUAUAAAGCGAGAAUUGGAUUGUGAAAUAUGUAAGUUAUGGACCAAAGAAACAAUUUACAGCCACCAUUAUAUUAUAAGGAAGUUACUCCCAAAGUUGUAACAUUUGUGGGAAAAAAAAAAGGACCCAAAGUUGUAAGAUGUGUGGGGAAAAAAAAAGGGUGAGGCGGUUAAAAAGUAAAUAAAAGUAAAAGAUGCAGCUGGAAACAGAGGAACAUAUAUACACGUGUGAGAGAGUGAAAGAAGCUGUAAACCGACCUGAAACCCGACCCGACCCACGAACCUGACCCGAUUGCAUCUCACGAUUCCGGCCACCUCACCGGUCUAGCAAGCUAUCAAUCGGAAGCCCGUGAGACGCUGAUCAUACCCAAGCCGUCAUUACCGCUUAUCGCCGCCGUUUCAAGUUUGAGAAAUCGCAGCCAAAACUCGUCACCACCGCCGUUGAUUCUACCGGAAUUUGACCACGCCACCACCUCAGUUUUGUUCCUCAUGACGCCUUCUUUAAUUCCCGACCAUCCACAACCACCGGGAGUCAUUGUUUCGCCGCCAGCCAAUUGUUAGAGUUUCGCGGUUGUUGAGCUAAGUUCUGAUGCCGUCACCGCGCGUUAGAGUUCACUGCAGGUACCACUGAACUCAGCGUGGCCAAAAGUGUCUAACAUGUGCUUCUUGGCCAACGUUGACUGAAUUCCAGUCACCGUUGACCCACGAGGGUAAUUCGGUAAUUUCACAUUUUGAGGGUGAUUUUGUAAUUUCUGAACCUGUAGAUAUUUUAGUAAUUCCUAAAAUUGAGGAUCAGGUGUAAUUACGAUUCCGAGAGUAAUUUGGUGAUUUAUGAUUUUAGAGUAUUUUAAUGAUUUACAGACUCGAGGGUAUUUUAGUAAUUUUAUCGACGCAGGAGUUGUAAAUUAUGGGUAGAUGUUCGUUUCGGUUUUAUUGCAUAAAUUUAGUCAUAAUUUCGAUUUAUGGAAAAUAAUUAUAUUGUUUCUUUGAUUUGGGAGGAUCCGUGAGCGAGAACCAGUCCGCGGGCGUGGACGAUAACCGAGUGUGAGCAUCGUCACUGUGAGUUGAAUAUACAAAACAUAUUUUCAUAGUUAAUUAUGAUAGUAAAGCAUGUUUGCGAAAUAAGUAUUUUAAAUGUUUUGAUUUAAUAAUUUUCUCGAAAUGGAUUUUAUUCACGCAUUGAUAUUAUAUUAAAAUGUUUGGUUAAUGGUUUUCUGUAUCAACUUGAAUAAAAUAUGAUAGUAUCUUAAAGAUGAGAAAAGUGGAUUUAGAUGUGACAAUGAAAAGAAAGGUAUGAUUUAAAGUAUUGAUUAGAAUGUAUAUAAAUAUGAGUAUAGAGAUUGUUUUUAAAAUCAUUGGACAAUACCCUUCCCUCUAAAUACUGUGAAUCUGUGAUACAGAUGAGAUGAGAGGCCUUUGGGGCCCAUCUGAACACACAUAGAGGUUUUGGGUGGUGUGUUUGGGAGCUUUUGCUUUUUGGGGGCUUAUGCAUGCAGUAUGAUGAUUACAGAGAUACGGAUAUUGAGAUACAGAUAGAUAUUGAGAUACAGAUAGAUACUGACAUACAGAUGAGACAUAUGAGAUAUAGGCCUUUGGGGCCUGUUUGAGUACACACAGAGGCUUUAGGCCGUGUGCUUGGCGCUUUUGUCAUUUGGGGACUAGAUUAUGCAUGCACAUGUAUGAUGAGAUAUGAAAUGGUAUUUCCUUGUCUAUUCGUGUAGCUCCGAGGCAUGACGGUACCUAAAUAAUACAUCAUUGCUCGUCCGUUGAGGUCUAGAUACGACGAGAUUAUUCCCUUGGGUACUUGUUUGGUGACGAUUUUUAGAUUUAUAUAUUCUAUAUGAUAUUGUGAUAUGAUUCCGUGGUUAUUAGGUACGAUAUUAUAUAUGUUUUUCAAGGUUAGUAAUAUGAUUUAAAUGUUAAAUUAUUUAUUAUUGGUUUCUCGCAUAUGGUUUGAUGAAAUUGUGUUUGGAAAUGAUAUGAUUAUUUCUUUUAAAGUAUGAGUUUAUUUUCAAAAAUUACUAUCCACUCACUAAGCUCAUUGAGUUUUAUACUUAUCCAGUUUUUAUUAUAUUUUCCCCCACCAGGAGGUUGCAAGUACACCCAACCCACCCAUCAAGUGUAAAUAUAUUUUGAGUCUUGCCCAUAUGUGAUGGUGUUAAAAGAUAUAGAUGAUUUUUGUUAGGACAUCCUGAUCAUCUCACUCUUUUGGGAUUGUACAAUUUUGUUAUAUUAUUCUUUUGGGAUUAAGAAUAAACUGAUGUAUAUUAAUAUUAGUUAUAAUAUAAUCUUUUGACACUUUGGAGAUAUUUGGAGUAAAAUUCAGUAUUUUUGUUGAGGAUGUUGAUCAUUGAACUUGGUUGUAUAUUGAAUUUUUUUGGGCAGUGUUAUAUUCAUAUUUGCAGAUUGAGAGUGUUAUAUUUAUAAAGGAAACUCUAUUGAAUUUUCAGCAGAAUUCUCACUAAUUAGAUUAUUAUCAAGUUCGUUUUCAUAAGACUAGAUUGACUUGCCCGGGUGAGCUUUGGGGCGGGUCGUUACAAAAGUAAUACUAAAACAAGACAUGUUUAUUUAUUUCUUCCUUUUUUUUUAAAAGCCUAAAAUCCUAAAUAGAAGAUUCAAAAUUAGUGAAGGAACUGCAUUCGCACUGCCUUAUAAAUUUCUCUACAAUGAUCGAUCUACCAUUAAAAAAAAUAAAAAAGUUUGCUCAAAUUUAUAAGAAUAUACAAUCACUUUCACUUCAAUCAGUCAUAAAAUGGGCUUCAGCUCCUACUCCUAGCAAGCAUUUUCAAUACUAGUUUUGUUCAUUACUUCGGUAAAAGGUAUCGAUGCAACCAACUGAGUUUUCAACGUCAAGGACUUUGGUGUUGUGGCCGAUGGCAUUAAGGAUAAGGGUGGCAAAACGAAUAAACGAAUCGAAUUCGAGUCGAAUUGUAAAUGAAUUGGGUUAAAAUUCUACAGAUUCGGAUUCAAUUCGUUUAUUAAACGAAUUGAAAUUUCAGGAUUCGGAUUCGAUUCGUUUAUUAAACGAAUAUUCGGUUUGAUUCGUUUAUUAUUCGUUUAUCCUUAACGAGUCGAACCGAAUCAAAUCGAAUCAGGAUUCGUUUAGAAAAAUAUAAUUAAUAAACAAAAUUAAGCAAAAUAAAAUAUAAAAAAUCACAAUUUUAACAUCCCACAACAAAAUACAAGUAACUCAAACCAUAUUAUGCAGUCAUCUAAAUACCAAAUUACAAAUCCCUAAUAAUACAAAUAACAAUAAUUAAAAUUCAUAUGAUAAAAUAAGGUAAUUUCUUUAAUUCUCUUCAUUUGUUUUUUUCACCUUGAAAACAAAAAUCCUACACCAAAAAGUAAAUAAAAAUGUUAUUAACAAUUUAACAUAUUGCAAUAUUGAUAAUAAUCAUUGUAAAAUUUCAAAAUUUCAAAAUAUCAAAUAUAUACAAAUUUGUAGUAUUUUUAAGGAAAUACUAAUUAAAUAAGACAAAACUUUACCUAUCACACUCACACAAAUCCAAGGAUUUGGAGCAGUGGCAAAACGUAGCACUUGCUGGAUGUAAAAAUUAAAAAGAAAAAGAAAAGGAUUUGGAGAAGGAAAUGAAGGGAAAGAGAUUGCAAAAUGUAGUUGUGGCGCCUGAGUUGCUAGGAGAUGAGGGAAAAGUGCGUGUGAAGUGUAAAAUUAGGGUUGGUCUUUUGGCUUUAUGUGUUAUGCUUAAAAUUACAAUAUUAACCUUCAUAUUUUAAAAAGUUUUCAAAUAAAUUUAAAGAUAAAAAGGUAAUUUAAUUAAACGAAUAACAAACAGGUCGAUUCGUUUAUGACCCAUUUAUUAAACGAAUCCUGAACGAAUAAACGAAUCAAAAUCUUCAAACCCGCAUUCAAUUCGUUUAAUUAGCGAAUCGAAUCGAAUUCACCCAUUUAUUAAACGAAUCAAUUUUUUCAAACCCAAACCCACUUAAUUCGCAUUGAAUUGAAUCGAAUAAACGAAUUUUGACCCAUAUUGCCACCCCUAAUUAAGGAUGAUAGUAAGGUAAGGAAAAAUAAGAUCCGUAUAAAAUAAAUAUUAAUGUACUACUUACGUCAUUUUGAUUAUUUUCAACCAUCAUCAGGUAAAUAAAUAAGUUAAUCAAUGUAUUUAGAAUAAUAUAUUAUAUCUUUCCUGUGCAAAUUUAAAGCAAUCCAACUCAUAUAUCCAAAAUUAACUGCGGUUCAAUUUUGACUCACAUGGAUUCUUUGUUUUGGAAACAUCUCUUAAGGGUUCAAAAAUUAUCGGCUAUGAGUGAUACAAAAAUUAACACAUAUCUAAUUAAAACAUAAAUUCUCAAACUUCAGAAAAUUUUGUUACCCUCUAAGUUAUAGUAUUUCAUUUUAGAUAUCCAAUACAUUUUUGUUCUCUAAUUUUUUUUUUUUUUUGGGUCUCUCUCUAUCAUCGGCCUUUGUUUCUUCCAGUCUCUCGAUUCGUGAGUAGUGCUUUGCUAAAAUGAUACAAAUUUAUCUUUUUCACCUAAUCAAACAAGCAAACAUGUCAACAAUUAUUUGCAUGAAGCAGGCAACUGAGUCCAUUUUCCUUCCGUAGGGCUUACAUUAAGUAUUUUAGGGUGUGUUUGGGAUUGAGGUGCUAUAGCUUUUAAGCUACAGCUGCUGUGAAAAAAAAAUUGUAAUUAUGAAACAAAAGUUAAUAAUAUAUAGUAAAUAUAAAUUUUAAAUAAUAAUUUUGAUAAAAUUAUUAAAAAUAUAAUAAAUUUUAUAUUAUACAAGUGAAAAAUCAUAUCAACAUAGAUUAAAAGCUACAGCAGUUAGUGUUUACCAAACACUUUAGUGCUAUAGCUUUUAAGCUACAGCUGACCAACCUCAAUCCCAAACGCACCCUUAGUGACAAAUGCCUAAUAAUGCAGACUGCUACAAGUCCACUGAGCAGUCAAUGACACUGAUACUUGAACCAAAUUUAAAGGAUUUGGCACCGAAAUUUCUUGCCGGAAGGGAAAAGGCGUGGUCAUAAUAACUACGUUUCAAUUCUACUAUUCUAUAUUAAUCAGAUUCGAAUAUCUUAUGUGUAACCCAGUGGACCUUAUAGCAACCAAUAUGAUAUCAUUCUCUUGUGCACAUUUCCUUUUCUUAUAAUUAAUCUAUACCCAUAUCAAUGAAAUCUAACAAUAAGAAAAAUAAUUAUUGGGGUAAACUAAAGUUAACCCCAAAUAUUUUCUCAAUAUAAAUUAUCCGUAAUUACUUUUCUUUUUAAUUAAAAAAGGGUGUUCAAUAACUUUUUUUGUUUUAAGUUAAAUAAAGAUGUUAAGAGUAUUCCUUUUUUAGUAUGAAAAAGUUAAAAACCCACCAUUUUUUAUUUUUAUUUUUUUAAUUCUCCCUCUCCUCGGCCUUUCUUCCUUAUCCAUUUUAAUUUUUCUUUUUCUUUUUUAGUUAUUUUCCUUUAUUUCUCUCAACCUCAAUUUCUUAUUUUUGCUCCUUUUUUUCAUUUCUAAUUGGCUCUGAUUCUUUGAUUUUUGAGUGAACUCGUGUGUCAUGCUAAUACACCACGUGGCAAAGAGCAAUAAAAGGGGGGAAAAAAUAACAUCUUCAGAGCUUAUAUAAAAAAAAAGUUCUCCCAAAAACAUGGAUAAGUUGCGGGGUUGGAUUUAAUUUUGGGACUAAAAAAUUAAUCUUAUCCUAUGUCAUGUUUGGCUAUUAGAAUUAGUAAAUAAGUCCAAAUCUAUUGGGAUUAUUAGUCCUUAUUUUCAUGUGGAUUUAAGGGCUAGUUUGAGAUUGCGGAGAAUGAUGAAAUAACCUGCUUGUGUUGUGCAGUUAAAAUCAAUUGCUGAUUAGCUUAGUGUUUAGUAAACUGUAUUGUUGCGGUUGUUGUGAGUUUGAAAAGUAAAAUAUAUGCGUUUAGUAAAUUUUAUUACAAACGUGUUGUUUUAUUAUAUAAUGACUAAAAUAGACAUAAAUUUUAAUUACUUAUUAUUUUUAGAGUAUGUUUAAUAAAUUGUUUAGACAUAUCUUUUUUUUUCAUAAACAUAUAAAAUUACAUUAAAAAAAACUCAAUUAAAAAAUCUAAAGAACUUCAUAAUCUGUUACAUAAAUAUGAUAAAAAUUCAUACUUAUACAUAAUCCAAAUAAAACCAAAAGCAAUAUGUAUUACAUUUACAAUAAUUUUUUUGCAAUAAAGUUUCUCAAAUUUUUCAUUUCUUGGGAUCCAGAGCCAUUAGUAUUGUGAUGCUCUUCGUAAGUAUUAUUGCCUCUUUUUAUUCGUUCAUCAAAGAUUGAAGUAGGAUAAUUUUCAAUAUUGUCAAAAUGAAGAUCACGUUGCACAUGUCUCCUUAUAUAAUUGUGCAAUGUCAUGGUUGCAAUGACUAUUUUCACUUGUUUGGAAAACGAAUAGCUGGGCAUAUCUCUUAAAAUCUUCCAUCUUUUCUUCCAUACUCCAAAUGCGAGUUCAAUAAUGCUUCUAAGUGAUAAGUGAGCAUGAUUAAAUAUUUCUUGAUAACCUAUGGGUUUAGUAUCUUGGCGAAACUCUGGAAGGUGGUAUAUUUCACCUUUAUAUGGACCUAAAAAACCACUAAUUUGGGGGUACCCCACAUCCACUAAGUAAUAUUUUCCUGUUGAAUAAAAAACAUGUGAAUUUGUAUAAUAAUAUUUUAAAAGAUUAAAUUUUAAUUCAACUUAAAUACUUUGUAAAGAAAAUAUUAAAUAUUUAAGAAAUAAAAUUUAAAAAAAAAAAAAGCAAAACACCUUUGGGAGGCUUUGGAAAAUUCAUUGUAGGGUUGUUAGAAAAAUCCUUGCAUCAUGUGCACUACCUUCCCGACCUACAAGUGCAAAAAUAAAUUGCAUAUCAAACUACAUGCAACCAUUAUUUUUUGAGUCGGUAUUCCUUUUCUACCAAUAUAUGGUACUUGAUCUUCUAGGAAUAUUGUGGCAAGAACAUGCACACCAUCUAUAGAACCAGUACAAUCUUGAUAAUAGCAUGAAAACAUAUUCAUUGCUAAUAUGUAACUUUGUAAAACAAAAAUUAAAUACAUUUUUUUAAUUACCUCAAAGUGGGGCAUGUAUCUUGAAUCUCUCAGUAUUUCUUUAGGAACUUCCUUAAACUCAGGAUCUUCUGCCUUUAUUAUAUCAAUUGCCGUUAUACAUACAACAUCUAAUGCUUGGCUAAAAUAUCUACUGAUAGUUUCACCUGAGUGUUGAAAUCGUUCUUGUGCUAACCUGUUUCCAACCCCAUGUCCCAAAGUGUGCAAAAACAUUCCUAAACUCUCAGCAGCGCCCAUUCUUCUUGAACCUUGUGGCCCAUAAUUUGUUUCCAGAUCAGCAAAUAAUUUUAAAAAAUACAGCCUUUUCCAUUUUAAACAUCCUGUAGCAUAUUUUAAAAAAUACAGCCUUUUCCAUUUUAAACAUCCUGUAGCAUCGAUUAUCAUUUCCUUCUAAUACUUCCUUCAACCACAUAUUUCCAGUUUGUAUAGAUUUCAUACAUGGUUGUUUAUAAAUAUAUUUGAGAUAAUAGUCUUCUAUAAGAAGUGCAGAUACGCAUACAAUUUGGUCGAACACCUCAUCAUCAGAUGUAUCAAUUUCUAAAAUAAACCUAUAAACAAUUAUUUAAAAAGUAUCACUAAACAUGCAACAAUUUUUUUUUUUUAAAAGUAAAGAUAAAAUGAUGUUAUAAACAAUUACAAAAAUCAUUCAUAAUUAUUAUUAUAACUAAUGUCUGAUGAAAAGUAGUAUGAAAACAGUAUCAUAAAAUUAAUUGUUCAUAAAGCACCUUAUUCCUAAAAGAAACUAAAAUCUAAAAGCCUAAAGGAAAAUCUAGCAUUAUCUAAUAAGAUUACUACAAUAACAUGUUUCAAAGAUUAUAAGUCGGUGAUUUCUCAAAAUGAAGCCAUUUAAGCAUCGUCUCUGUCUUUCGUGACAGAAAACAUCUCUCUCUUCUCUUUAGAUAAAAAGAGUAGAGUGGUAAAUAACCAUAAGUCGCUUCCAACUUCCACUCCAGGUAAAGAUUCAACCAUUUGCAUCACUUCAAGAGUACUACAGCAGACGGUAUCAUUUUUUUUAUCCUCAACAACAUUUAUAAGGCAGUCAAUAUGUUGUGAUAAUUUCGUAUCGUCUCCUACCUUUGCCCCUCCUAAUCCAACCUUUUUAACUUUCUUCACCCUUUUAUCUGUUAUCUUACGUAUUUCAACAUUUCUUUUAUCCACCAAUUUCUCAAAAUUUUCAAUACCUUUGUCAAAUUCCAAUUGAUCAGUGAACUCAUAUGAAUCACCAUUACUUUCUAAUGGAAUGACAUUUUUGUCUAACUCUUCAUUAUUUUCAUAUGGAAGGAUGUCAGCUGAAAGUGGCCAAGCAUGCUCUCCGGUGGCGGCAGUGUUCAUGAACAUCCUGUCCAACUUCCCUUCUAAUUAUUAAUCAAUGCCUCUUUUACGAAACUUGCUUGCCUUGGGAUACAUCUGUAUAUGUACAUUGUAUGAAGUUAAACACUAAUUUUAUAUAUAGUAAAAAAAUAUUGUGGCAAAAUAAUCAGCAUUCACCUUUAUUUUCUUUUGCCACCACUCUUCAGAAGCAUCAAUAGUCUUUAAUAUGGGAUUCCAUCCUAGACCAUUUUCUUUCCCCAUAAAAUCUUUCCAUAAUUUCCAACACUAGUAAAAUGAGUUCCAAGGCAACGUCCUACCUCUAAUUCCGAAAUACACAAAUCACAAAAUAUAACUAGAGUAUUUGCAUCCCAAUGUGCCUUAAUAAGUUGUGCAUUACUGGAAGUUUCAGUAGAGUUGGCAAUAUUAUUGUUCUUCAUCUAUAAUAAUAAAAUGUAAAAUCCAACUCAAUCAUUACAGUCAUGACAAACAAGCAAUAAUAGAUAUCAAACACUCAAGAAAUCAAGCAAUUAUAUCAUUAAUCAGCAUAUCACAAUCAAAAGCCACAUUCACACAAACAUGGCUAUAGUGAAAUAUAACUAUAUAUUUGUUGAUGCAGAAAUCUGGUCAUGUUGUAGGGCUGAUCAGGUUGUCUCUUCAACGAUCAAGUUAGCUCUGGUUGGGGCACUAUGUUGCUCGUUCCUUCCCCUGACGAGCGAAUUUUGCGACCACAACCAACCUCGUUCCUUCUCUUAUGACCUAUACUUAUAGAAAUUGAUCAGAAGCGCCAGUAGUUUUUUCGGCGAAAACCCUCCGAUGCUUAAGUCAGUAUGUAGGGUUUCAGGAAAAACGUUGGAUUAUAAAUCUAUGCAAGCUAACAAUUGUUAAAUGAAGGAAAAUUUUUUUAAAGGCUUUAUGAAAAUGAGUUCUGAAUCCAAAAUAGCAGAGUUUCCCCUUAUUUUUUUCUUGUCUUUUUCCCUUUCCUGUCUUUUUUUGGGGUUUUAUAGGCAACGACCCUUUGUGUCUUGAACAUCCCCCCAAGUCCUCCAUAUUCGAGCCAUCAUAGAUCAAAUGGAUUGCGAAAAUCGUGCAUGGGUUAUCGUGCCUCCCUCGAAUGGUUUGGACGUGGCGAAGCUGCCGCCUUAAUAUGGCAUCAUGCCCAAUUUUUAAGUACAUUUGUCUUGUUGACCUAUAGCUUACACCGAAGAGGGCUAUGGUGCCAUUGUAUCUACUCAUCAAAACAUAGUAGAGGAGAUUCCACCCAACCAAAUGAAUCAUGUACGACUGGUGCUCUUUUAAUCACCUAAACAUCAGUCCCCCUAGUUUCUAGUAUUGUGAGUGGAGCGAGCUAAGACUAGAAACUAGGAGACAAUUAUGGUAAUAAUGCAGGUUAAGUUAUCUAGCUCUAAUCAUGAUCUGGCGAAGUCGAGGUGGCGUUCUCAAAUUAUUUGGUUGCCCGGGUGGUAUAUAGCUGCAAGAGCAAUGUGUAUAGAGCAGACACCUAUGUUCUCAAGUACACUACCAAUCUGACUUCUUGUCAUAUCAUUUUAAAUGCUUGCGACGUGGCACUUCCUACACCAUGUAUUUAAAAUUUGAAAUGGUGAUUUCUUUGCUCUCGAUUAAACUGACACAUGCGUUACUUAAACGCUUCUUUUCUCUUUCCUUCAUAAAAUCCAUAAAUCGAGGACUUCAUUAAACUUGUUCUUCCACUUUCUACUGAGAUUUUUAACUUGAAAUCAAGCACCCUUUUUACGCCGGAGACUCUCUUUCUUCUGCUGUUUUCGCUGUGACAGUGACUCUAUUAACCUUAAACCAUCCCAGGUAUUGCCCUCUGAACUAACUUCUGGUUGUUAUUAUUUUGUCUUGUAUUGUGCUUUCUUGUUCGAGUAUUUGGAUUUGUUUUUAGUUUUCUCCAUGUUAAAAUGAAAAGGAAAAAUUAUCUAUAUUAAGAUGAUGAAGAAAUAGAUUCAUACCUCUAUAUGCUAAGAGAGACUCUCCUCGACCCCUAGAUUUCCCCGAGUGAUGUAGACCCCUCUAAUACUAAGAGCACUCUUAGGUAACCAUCGUUAGAGGUUACUCCACCACCUUCUGGUCACGAACCUAGUGGGAAUAAAAGUGGACAAACGUCGAGCUUCGACGAAAGUCCUAGCUCGAGUGGGGUAGAAAGUCAUGAUGAAGAGAGUGAUAAUGUGGAAAGUGGCACCGAGCCGAUCUAACCAGCUAAAAAAAAAAACCUUGGCCACAGGAUAGAAGCUAAUUCUUAUCCCAUCGAUUUUAUAAAGUACAGCACCACACAAAAUGAUCUAUACAAAUUGAAAAACCUUUAUCGUAUUCCCAACAACAUCCAUCUCGUUAUUCCCGAAAAAGUGAUGUCCCUAGUCAACUUCCUCAAGGCUACGUGACCUUAUACUUGAAGUGUUUCAAGUUAUGAGUUAAAUUGCCCCUCCAACCUUAUUUUGCGAAGUUAUUGAGUGACCUACAUUUGGCUCCUAGUCAAUUAAACCCAAACAGAUGGAGGGUACUUUCAGGCUUGUUUGUGCUGUGGGCUAGGUGUGAACCUUGAAAGCUUACCACUGAUGAAAUAAAGAAUUUACAUCAACUAAGAAACAACCCAAAAGACGUGGGCUGGUAUUAUUUCAUGUCGAGCUCUACAAAGAGAAAAUCCAUCACAGACUUUCCUACCUCAUGUAAAAAAUGGAAGACCAAAUUCUUCUUUGAUGAGGGAAACUAGGGUCAGGUGAUUCAAUUGGGUGGCGGUAGUAUUCAUGUCCCCACGCGUUUUUGCACCCCAGGUCAUUUAUUAUUUUUCACGCCUCAUGCCUUCAUUCUUACCAUUUACUGUGUUUUUUAGAUUAUUGGAGCAUGAUUUACAACAUCAAGGAGGAAUUGUUACUCAAAGUUCAGACUGCCCUAGUCAACGCUUGUACGUGCAAAAGCCUUUUGACGUCAACAAGUCUCAUCGAGUCCCACCUAAUCGAUAUAGCUACGGGGAUAGAUAACAAGAUCCUUGGUGCCAUGGCAAGGAAACAUGCUCGUGGUUCAGGCGACUUUGCCCCUACCCCACAAAAGAAGAGCAACGUCACCCCGACCAGCGCUCCUCCACCAACUCUGCCGCCCUCUCCGGCCUAAAAGGGUGGUGGUGAAAAAUCUCGCUAGAAGACCCCGAGAGUGCUACCCCUUCUACCAACCGAACUUCGUCACCUCUAUCCCGAGACCAAAACAAUUACUUGGCCAUAUACCAAAGGGAAUAUGCCAGGGUGAUGGGGUUCACGUUUGUAAAAGAGUUUGAGGGUAUAACCCUUACUGAGAUGGGAGGCUCCAUCCAAAAAACUACCUUUUAGCCCGCUACAACAGCCUCUUAUUAUAAGUUCAAGGCUUCUCGCCAUAAGAAGAGAUGACAAGUAGAGAUUUAAGACUUGAAGAAAAAAAGUUGAGGCAACUGAUCGUUCAAAGGAGCGAUUGCUUGAACUGCAUAAGCAGAUUCUAGACCUUGAGGAGAAAAUUGCUCUCACUGAGUCCAAGUCCAUUCAACUCGAUCGUGAGGUUGUAGAGAUGGAAUCUGAUCUUGACAUUGCAUGAAGUGAGUGAGAUACUCAGAAAUCAGCGCAUGAAGAGCAAAUUAAAUCUUUGAAAUUGCUUAUAACUAAGUUGAAAGAUAAGGUCAAUAACAUGGAGGACCGGAUGGAUGAGGAGUACGACUCUAGGCUUGCUUUUAGCUAUAACUGCAUUAUGUCUGUCCUUAAGAAGGAAUAUCCAAAGCUGAAGAUAGACAAGCUUGAAGCAAGUGUAAACAAGUAUAUGGCUUAGCAAAAUCAACCAAACAAAGGCCAAGAUGGGACUCCUCCGGGUGCUGAGAGUAGGAAAAAGGAAUAAGGGACAAAACGCCAGAUGCAGCUGUGGAGGUAGCCCUUGCCCUUGUUGGGAUCACUAAUCCUUCCUCGGCUAUGAUUGUUGAUUCCUCCCUUGCAGAAGUAGUUGAGCCUUCCUCCCAAAAUCCAUGAAUUUUAUUUCAUGUUUGAACUGCAAACUUUCAUUUGUUCACAUAUUUUGAAACAUUUAUAAAUUCUGUUUUCUACUUUUCAUUUUAAUACUUUGCUCAAGAAGACUUGUAUGAAUUGUUGUUUUGUCUUCUGAAUGUUUAACUUCUUUACCAACUCCGAUAUUCUAAAACUUAUUGUUGGCCCUAAUGAUUAUUUCAUGGGCUUUGUCCGCUCAUCUUCGUUUGAUAGAAUAGAUUUUUUACCAAUUUUUUGCCUGCUCUGCCUCGAGAAGGUUGUGAGUCUUUUAAGCCCUCAUUUGCCCUGGAAUAAUUUUGGUAAACUUUGCCUGCUCAUUCUUGCCUAGCAGAGCAGGUUAAGGCAAACUUUUAACUUGUAUCAUCUCGACAGGCUUCGAGCCUAUUUAGCCUUUACUUGCCUUAGAAAUAAUUUUUGCAAGUUUUGCCUACUCGUCCUCGCUUGACAGAGCAGGUGUUGAGUGUUAGAAAAUGCAUAUUUAUAGAGGAGAAAACCGUCAUUUUACAUUUCAAGUCUUACUAACAACCCUUAUUUUUAUGUAUUUAACCUACUUGUGAUUUAAUUACAUGUGUUUUAUUUUAAUUAAGUAUUUUAUGUAUUUUAGGGGCAUUAUAGUCAUUUCACAAUAAACGAGAAAUCAGAUGGCAAAACGGACAUCACUUUUGAACUCAGGACGGUCGAAAACCUUAGGAGGAGCAUAAAAGGAAAAAUGGCACUGUUCACAUGUACGGUACUAUUCACGUGUACGGUACUGUAUACGUUACUGUUCACAUAGACGGACCGAUGAUGUGGCAUUGACUGAUCGUCCAAACUAAUCCUGUUGGACUAAAAUUCUUAUAUACUGUUGAUGGUGACGUGGCAGCAUAUCAGUGGACGAAAAAUCUCGCAUACGGUGCAUGCAUCACACAGGAUUAUUUUCAACCAAACCGCAUACUGUUCAUCCGCGUGGUCAAACCGUGGAAUGUUGACUGAUGACGUGGCGCAAUCCUGAGCGUCCAAACUAUUUUUAAUCCGAUGGCCAUGAUUUACUCCAUGUAUCUAUAAAAAGGGGGCCUCCCCCCCCUAAUUUGAUAUCUCUGAAUCCAUUUUUGGGAUCCAUUUUCUGUAAUUCCCUCUCCAUCUUGUAUUUUCUUCGUAUUUUAAUAAAUUUUCAUUUUGCCCCUAGUUCAAUUAAGAGUGGCUAAUUUUCUUGCAAGCUUGGGUUGAUGGUAAAGUUUCAACAUGUGUCAUGGGCUUAAUUUGGUAAAUUUAUUUUCUCUUCCCCUCUAGUUUUUGUGGAUGUUUUGACUUCUCGUCGACAAAUAAUAAUAAGCUUGUCUAGAUACCGUCUUGGUUACACCGGCUCUCUAGUAGAAGUUUAUUAUUAUUUGGUACGGUAAGCCCUUAGCACCAUAUUGAUUAGAGCGUGGUUCAUGAGGUGUGGAUUCCCCCCUCAUGAUUUAAUUGACAUUAAUACGGAUUAUUUAGCCCAUGAUGCAUGUUGAUACGGAUCCAGAUACCCAAGUACGUCAAUUUAAUAGAUUUUCUCUUCAAUUUAUUCUCUCAAUUGCAAUUCCAAUUUUAGAAUUUAUUCUCGCCAUUUUAAUUUAAUUAUUAGCAUAUUCCAAAUCAUUUCCACCAUAAAUCCAACUACCCAUUUACAAAAUUAAUUCUAACACAAUUAAAAUCCACCUCCUCGUGGGAUCAACACUCAUCACCAUUGAUCUAUACUACAAUAAAUUCGUGCGCUUGCGAGUACAUUAAAAUUUGCACAACAAAUUGCUUGACAGCAAUUGGAGAAAGGCUCAUGAAGAUAACUGAUGACAAGUGGAAUGAGAUAGACGACAACACAAUUGAUGAUCUACACCUAGCACUUGCAGAAUGAGUGUUAUCCAGUGUGGUGGAGAAAAAAAACAUCUAAGGAAAUAUGAGAUACUCUCACAAAAUUAUACGAGACCAAGUCAUUGCACAACAAGAUCUUCUUAAAAAGAAGGCUCUAUACUCUUCGAAUGGUUGAAUCUACAUCAGUGACCUACCAUAUCAACAUCUUGAACGCUCUAUUUUCACAACUCACAACGUUGGGUCAUAAUAUAGAGGAAAAUGAAGGUGCAGAACUUUAACUUCAAAGUCUACUAGAUUUAUAUGAUCAACUCAUCAUCAAUCUAACAAACAAAAACCAAGUAGACAAUUUAGUCUUCGAUAAUGUUGCAGCCUUCGUAUUAAAUGAGGACAGCAUGUAGAAAAAUAAGAAAGACAAUCAAGCAAGUUCGCAGCAAGCAGAAGCACAAUCAGUGACGAGAGGGAGAUCAACGGAACAUGGUCCUAGUGGGAGUCACAACCAUGGCAUAUCAAAAUCGAGAAAGUAAGAAGAAUGUUAAAUGCUACAAUUAUAGCAAGAAAUGACACGUUAAGAAAGAGUAUUGUAACAACCAGAAGAGAAGAGAUAGUAAAGAUCUUGAAUCAUAAAAUACUCAGGGAUGUGUAGCAAGUACCUCAGAUUAUGGAGAAAUUUUCUAUAGCGAGGCAACAAUUGUUGCAGAAGGCAAAAAGCGGUUAGCUAACGUCUGGCUCAUAGACUAAGGAGCUACCUGGCACGUGACCUCUCAGAGAGAAUAGUUCUAUACAUAUGAACCUAUCUCAGAAGGAUCUGUAUAUAUGGGUGAUGAUCAUGUCUUGGAGGUCGCUGGUAUUGGUAUUAUCAAAAUAAAAAUAUCUAAUAAUACAGUUCACACAAUUGAGGAGGUACAACAUGUCAAAGGUUUUAAAAAGAAUCUAUUGUCUUUAGGACAAACAGAUAGUCAUGGGUGCAAAACUCAUGUGGAAAAUGGGAUCAUGAAGAUUGCUAAAGACGCGUUUGUAAUGAUGAAGAUAAAAAAGAUUGAUGAUAAUCUAUUCAUGCUUAAAAGGGAAAACACUACAGGAAGCUGAUGCAUGUGUUGCGUUAAAUGGAGAAGAGUCGGCAAUGAUGUGACAUCUCAAACUUGGCUAAUGUCGGAACAAGGUUUGAAGAAUCUCUCUGAGUGAAAUUAUCUUCCAGGGCUCAAAUCGAUGAACUUACCGUUUUGCAAGCAUUGUGUUAUAAGUAAGUAGAAUAAAUUGAAGUUCAAUAGAUAUGUUGCCAGAAGUAAAUGCAUUCUACACUUGAUUCAUUUUGAUGUUUAAGAAUCACCAGACAUAUCUAUGGGAGGUGCAAAGUAGAUGGUGACUUCUAUUGAUGAUGAUUUCAGGAGAUAUUGGGUGUAUCCAAUCAAGAAAAAGUCGGAUGUGUUUACAGUGUUUUAAGAAUUCAAAGUGCAGGAUGAACUUGAAUUUAGGAAAAUGAUCAAGUGUUUGAGGACCGAUAAUGGUGAAGAGUAUACAUAUGACAAGUUUCUUGUAUACUAUAAGCAAGAAGGUAUCCAGAGACAAUUCACGGUAGCAUACACUCCUCAACAAAAUGGAGUGGCGGAGUAGAUGAACAUAACUCUUACAGAAAGAAUAAGAGUUAUGUUGAGGACUAUUGGUCUACCCAACUCAUUCUGGGCAGAAGCAUCCAAUUAAAGAAGUCAAAGCGAUAAUUGAAGGUCUCUCUCGACAAAUAGCAUCGUUAUCGACUGCUAAAUCAACAGAGCCACAUGACCAUGACUCAUACUCAAAUCAAGCCAACGCCAUAGGUGUAAUGAGAAAACCAUCUAAUUACAACCCAUACUCCAACACAUAUAACCUUGGAUGGAGAGACCACUCCAAUUUUUCAUGGUCUCAAGGACUCCAACAGAAUGGACCAGCAACUCCACCAAUGCAACGAAUUCCUCAAAAUCCUUAAGCCUCUCAGCCACCAUUCAGACCAUACAAUCAGAACCAGAACUACUCUCAACCUAGACCAUGGGAGGAUUCAUUUCAGAAUCUCAAGAAUCUUACUCACUCUACGAUUGAGCAACAGAACCGCACCAUUGAUGGACUACGAAAUGAAUUGAGAGUGGGUUUCAACUCACAAGCCCAAUCAGUUUCAAGCCUCGAGAAGAUGGUGGGACAACUUGCUUCUUCAGUUCAGACCUUGGCAAUGACCGUUGAGAAAGGUAAGUUUCCAAGUCAACCAGUGCCUAACCCUAAAGGAGUGCAUGAAGCAAGUACCAGUUCACCACAGUAGCAUGGAGAGGUCAAAGCAGUCAUGACCUUACGAAAAGGAAAAGAAGUCGACAACAAAGUGGAGAUGCCGGUGACAAAAGAAAAUCAAAUUGUACCUAUAAAUGUUGACGACUCAUCACCGGAGGAGAAAGAAGAAACCAACCCACGAGAAUACGUUCCCAAAGCUCCAUUUCCUCAGAGGUUAGCGAAAGGAAAAAAGGGAAAAUCUACAGGUGAGAUUCUCGAAAUCUUCAAACAGGUAAGUGUUAACAUCCCUUUACUUGAUGCUAUUAAACAAGUUCCAUCUUAUGCCAAGUUUCUUAAAGACCUUUGUACUAAAAAGAGAAAUAUGCAUGUUCAAAAGAAGCUGCUGUACGGCCAAGGCGGAUGUACGGUACAGCAGNNNNNNNNNNNNNNNNNNNNNNNNNNNNNNNNNNNNNNNNNNNNNNNNNNNNNNNNNNNNNNNNNNNNNNNNNNNNNNNNNNNNNNNNNNNNNNNNNNNNNNNNNNNNNNNNNNNNNNNNNNNNNNNNNNNNNNNNNNNNNNNNNNNNNNNNNNNNNNNNNNNNNNNNNNNNNNNNNNNNNNNNNNNNNNNNNNNNNNNNNNNNNNNNNNNNNNNNNNNNNNNNNNNNNNNNNNNNNNNNNNNNNNNNNNNNNNNNNNNNNNNNNNNNNNNNNNNNNNNNNNNNNNNNNNNNNNNNNNNNNNUGUCCCAGAAAGUGAAAUUCAUAAUAUCCUUUCAUUCUGCCAUGAACAAGCUUGUGGAGGCCAUUUCAAUGCUAAGAAAACCGCGACUAAAGUUUUACAAUGUGGUUUUUAUUGGCCAACUAUAUCUGCUGUACCGUACAUCCGCCUUGGCCGUACAGCAGUUGGACUGGGAGAAUUACACCCAACUCCAGUGGUGUUACAGCUUGCAGUUCGGUCCACGAAAAUACCUCGUGGUAUUGUGGAGGACGUGCUUAUUCAGGUAGACAAGUUUUAUUUUCCUGUUGAUUUUAUUGUAAUUGACACUCAACCAAUACAGGAUUUAAGGAAGCACAUCCCCAUUAUCCUAGGUCGACCUUUCUUGGCAACUGCGGAUGCUCACAUUCAAUGCAGGACUGGAAAUAUGCAGUUGUCCUUCGGCAACAUGACUAUAGAGCUAAACAUUUUCAACAUUGCCAAACAACCUCACAGUGCAGAUGAUGGAAUUGUUGAUGUGGAUUUAAUUGAAGCAUUAGUUGAUGAUACUUUUGUUUCAAACCUUAGUGAUGAUCCUUUACAAACAUGUUUAACUCACUUUGGUUUGGAUUUUGAUAUUGACAGAUCAGUCGAUGAGGUCAACGCCCUGCUUGACUCCGCACCAUCCUUGGACACUAAUAAAUAGAAGUCAAGAGUUGAGCAAUUAGCACCAUCAGAUAAGCAACUCAUUCCAUCAUCAGAAUCACCACCGAAACUCGAGCUCAAAUCAUUGCCCAACACUCUGGAAUAUGCAUUUUUGGGAGAAGAAAGUACUCUGCCGGUAAUCAUCUCAUCAUCCCUAAAUGACGAACAAAAAGGUAAGUUGUUGGAUGUUUUGAAAAAGCAUAAAGGGGCAUUAGGAUGGACCAUAGCAGACAUAAAAGGUAUAAACCCAGUAGACUGCAUGCAUUACAUUCACCUUGAUGAAAAUGCUAAAUCUACUAGGGAAAUGCAACGUCGGUUAAAUCCUAAUAUGAAAGAAGUUGUUAGAACAGAAGUCCUUAAGCUAUUAGACGCAGGUAUCAUUUACCCAAUUUCUAAUAGUUCAUGGGUCAGUCAUGUACAAGUUGUCCCCAAAAAGUCAGGAGUCACAGUAGUUACAAAUGCUGAUAAUGAAUUGAUACCCACUAGAGUAACUACAGGAUGGCGUGUAUGCAUUGAUUAUAGAAAAUUGAAUUCUGUCACACGUAAAGACCAUUUUCCUUUACCAUUUAUUGAUCAAAUGCUUGAUAAAUUAGCAGGUCAUGAAUUUUAUUGCUUUCUAGAUGGCUACUCAGGAUAUAAUCAGAUCCCCAUAGCACCAAAAGAUCAAGAGAAAUUAUAGAAAGUUGAAUUCUGUCACACGUAAAGACCAUUUUCCUUUACUAUUUAUUGAUCAAAUGCUUGAUAGAUUAGCAGGCCAUGAAUUUUAUUGCUUUCUAGAUGGUUAUUCAGGAUAUAAUCAGAUUCCCAUAGCACCAAAAGAUCAAGAGAAGACCACUUUCACUUGUCCUUUUGGCACAUUUGCAUAUAGGAGAAUGCCAUUUGGAUUAUGUAAUGCACCUGCUACAUUUCAACGAUGCAUGUUGAGCAUUUUUUCUGAUAUGGUUGAACGAUUCCUUGAAGUCUUUAUGGAUGAUUUUUCUGUCUUUGGUGACUCAUUUGAUCAAUGUUUACAUCAUCUAACUCUAGUUCUGCAGAGAUGUAUCGAGAAGAAUUUGGUCUUAAAUUGGGAGAAAUGCCAUUUUAUGGUAAACCAAGGUAUUGUUCUCGGUCACAUCAUUUCGAGCCAAGGUAUUGAGGUUGACAAAGCCAAGGUGGAUCUGAUUUCUAAUCUUCCUCCACCUAAAACAGUCAGAGAAGUAAGAUCUUUCCUUGGGCAUGCUGGUUUUUAUAGACGUUUGAUUAAAGAUUUUAGCAAAGUUUCUAGACCCUUAUGCAAUUUACUUGCUAAGGAUGUACCUUUUAUCUUUAAUGAUUCAUGUCUUAUGGCGUUUCAAAAAUUAAAACAGUUGUUGACAUCAUCACUCAUCAUUCAAGCCCCGAACUGGAGCUUACCAUUUGAACUCAUGUGUGAUGCAUCUGAUUAUGCAGUAGGAGCAGUAUUAGGACAAAGAGUUGAUCGAAUUCCCCACGUUAUUUACUAUGCUAGUAUGACAUUAAAUGAUGCACAGUUGAACUAUUCAACUACUGCAAAAGAAAUGGUAGCAGUAGUGUUUGCAUUGGAAAAAUUUUGAUCAUAUCUCAUUGGUUGUAAAAUAAUUAUAUUCACGGAUCAUGCUGCUCUUAAAUAUCUUCUCACAAAGAAAGAUGCAAAAGCCAGACUAAUUCGUUGGGUGUUACUUUUGCAGGAAUUUGACUUGGAAUUCAAAGAUAAAAAAGGGACAGAAAAUGUUGUGGCGGACCACCUCUCUCGUCUCCAUUUUGACACAAUAAUAGAACAAUUACCAUUAAAUGAGUCAUUUCCAGAUGAACAAUUAAUGAAUGUCGAAGUAUUACCUUGGUAUGCUGAUAUAGUUAAUUAUCUUGUUACAGGUAAACUUCCAGAGCAUUGGACCAAGCAAGACAAGAUCAAAUUCUUUGCGGAAAUAAAGAAUUUCUUUUGGGAUGACCCAUAUUUCUGCUGUACCGUACAUCCGCCUUGGCCGUACAGCAGAAAGCCUGUCUUAUGGCGAGACAGAAGCCGAGCAUGCCGGGAUCUACUCGGCCACGAGAAGGCAGCAGAAUCACAAUCCUUGAAGAAUCAAAGGCAUGCAAAGGCUCGUCAAGUCUCAAAGCCUGUCUUAUGGCGAGACAGAAGCCAAGCAUGCCGGGAUCUGUUCGGCCACGAGAAGGCAGCAGAAUCCCAAUCCGUGAAGAAUCAAAGGCAUGCAAAGGCUCGUCAAGUCUCAAAGCCUGUCUUAUGGCGAGACAGAAGCCAAGCAUGCCGGGAUCUGNNNNNNNNNNNNNNNNNNNNNNNNNNNNNNNNNNNNNNNNNNNNNNNNNNNNNNNNNNNNNNNNNNNNNNNNNNNNNNNNNNNNNNNNNNNNNNNNNNNNNNNNNNNNNNNNNNNNNNNNNNNNNNNNNNNNNNNNNNNNNNNNNNNNNNNNNNNNNNNNNNNNNNNNNNNNNNNNNNNNNNNNNNNNNNNNNNNNNNNNNNNNNNNNNNNNNNNNNNNNNNNNNNNNNNAGAAGACUUGAUGAUGCAUUAUGGGCAUAUAGAACGGCUUUCAAGACCCCGAUUGGGAUGUCACCCUACAGGCUAGUGUAUGGAAAAGCCUCCCACCUAUCUGUGGAACUUGAGCAUCGUGCAUAUUGGGCCAUCAAGAAAUUCAACUUUGACAUGCAGCAAGCCAGCUCAAAAAGAAGAUUACAACUGGCAGAACUUGAAGAAAUUCGCAAUGACGCAUACGAAAAUGCCAAGAUUUACAAGCAACGAAUGAAAGUCUUCCAUGAUAAGCAAAUUAUGAGAAAAUCGUUCACUCCAGGUCAGAAAGUGCUUUUAUUCAAUUCUCGCUUGCACCUAUUCCCAGGUAAGUUACGCUCUCGUUGGUCUGGCCCAUUUAUUGUACAUACUGUUUUUCCACAUGGGGCAAUUGAAAUUAAGGACCCAAAGAACGGUGUCACGUUUAAAGUUAAUGGUCAAAGAUUAAAGCCAUAUCUAGAGUACCAACCACAUGGAGAAGACACCGAAAUAAAUUUGAGUGACCCACCAAAUUUGAAUUGAAUUUUUUUUUUCUUUUCGAUUGAUUUGAUUUUUCUUUAUUUCUUUUUAUUAUUAUUCUUUUGCUAAUUGAAAUUAUUUUUGCAUAAGUGUGUUUGUUUAACUAUUAAGUUUUCUCUUAUCAUUUUUAAUCAUGAGUCUCAUACUUAGACCGUUCCUCCUGAACAUUCUUAAACCACUUCAACGUGUCAAAACUCAUCUCAAAAGACAGAUUCAAUUUUGUAAAACACAUCGCAUUUGGGCUCUACAACCACCAGAGUUAGUAACCUAUGUUGAGGGUUUAGAACGCCAACUCCGAGAUAUUGAGAGAAGUGUUUACGACAUCCAGUUGGAGCUUGAGGUAAAUUCAAUAAGAGGACGAUUUUAAUUUUCUUUGUGUGUUUUAAUUUGUUUUUCUAUUUGUGUGCUUUAGUUUAUUACCCCGGUGAAGUGGCGGAUAACGGUACUCCGUGACAAUCAAGUCAGUUACUUCAGUUUCCCAUAAUAACUGAUAUUCUGAGGCGAAAGUAUGGACAGAAACGAGACUCUAGCGAAGCUUCACAAGCGAUUCCCUUCACUCCCUCAGAAUGCCCUCCUUACGAUCUAUAAAGCCCGGUCUGAACGCAUGCGAUUGCUCAUGAGGAAUAACAUACCUGCAGACAUCCGUUGGUUAAUCGAGGCUAAAGUACGAUCGGCAGGUGAGUUACCUCCAAAAUUUAUUGCAUUCAUGCCUGGUUGUGGUAAAGGAAAUUAUGCAAGAAAACGACGAGCUCGAAGAAUUUCUGUUGCUUGUCACAAGUGUGCCAGAAUGAGUUGCGAUAGAAACCCAUGUUCUUUAGGAAUGGUGUCUGAUAACAGAGAAGAUAAGAUUCAAUUCAUUAGGGAUGGCUUGAAUAAGGAGUCAUUGGAUGAUAUCCUUUUGUCUCUUGAAACGCAUCCCAGUGGAUAUGUACAAGGAGCGAUUCUCCAGUUAUGGCCAUUAUUCCAGAAAGAGCAUACACGAUAUAGUCUUGGGAAUCUGACUAUAAACGACCCUGUUUGCCAGUUUAUAAGAAAACUGGAUAGGAAGCCUAUCCUCGACCCAUAGAGGGCGUUCAAGCCGUUUCUGGACGUAAAACCAGAGGAAGAUGUGAGCCACAGUCGCAACUACAUGUAAAUAUCCUUUUACUUUCUGUUAUUUUAUUUCACUAUUGUUUUAUCGUUUGCAUUAUUGCCUUUAAUAAUUUUAUUACUGUUUGCUUUUUCCUUUUUACUGUUUCCUUUUUGACUCGCAAGCCAUGUGCUUCACGCGUUAUUUCACACUGACAUGUUACCUCAUUCACAGCUGUGACCCACUAUCACCAAGACUCUUAAAUGUGAUUUCUUUUGUCAAACACUCACAAAUUGUUUUUGAGAAAUAUUCCAAUGGCAGCUACUCCCAAUAGACAAUUCAAGAACAUUUGUGUGCUUUCUGGAUUUACAUAUGGCAAACAUAAAGAGUUCGUUGAGGCAGCCAUAGAUCUUGGUCGAAGCAUAGCAGCGAGAAAAUUACACUUGGUGUAUGGAGGAGGUAACCGAGGAUUAUCAAAAAUGGUCUCAGAAGCAGCUUUUAUCAAAGGAAGUCAAGUGUUAGGCAUCAUCCCAAGAGCCCUAAAACCUUUGGGCAGUUCGUCUGACUCAUCAACUGGAGAAGAGUUAGUCAUCUCAGGUAUGCAAGAAAGAAUAACUGAAAUGCUUAAUUAUGCUGAUGCUUUUAUUUUCCUUCCAGGAGAUCUUGCAACACUAGAGGCACUUAUCACACUAACAUUUUGGGCCCAUCUAUACAUUCACCAGAAACCCAUCGGUUUGUUAAAUGUCAAUAACUUUUAUGAUGGCUUUAUCGCAUUUCUGCUGUACCGUACAUCCGCCUUGGCCGUACAGCAGGNNNNNNNNNNNNNNNNNNNNNNNNNNNNNNNNNNNNNNNNNNNNNNNNNNNNNNNNNNNNNNNNNNNNNNNNNNNNNNNNNNNNNNNNNNNNNNNNNNNNNNNNNNNNNNNNNNNNNNNNNNNNNNNNNNNNNNNNNNNNNNNNNNNNNNNNNNNNNNNNNNNNNNNNNNNNNNNNNNNNNNNNNNNNNNNNNNNNNNNNNNNNNNNNNNNNNNNNNNNNNNNNNNNNNNNNNNNNNNNNNNNNNNNNNNNNNNNNNNNNNNNNNNNNNNNNNNNNNNNNNNNNNNNNNNNNNNNNNNNNNNNNNNNNNNNNNNNNNNNNNNNNNNNNNNNNNNNNNNNNNNNNNNNNNNNNNNNNNNNNNNNNNNNNNNNNNNNNNNNNNNNNNNNNNNNNNNNNNNNNNNNNNNNNNNNNNNNNNNNNNNNNNNNNNNNNNNNNNNNNNNNNNNNNNNNNNNNNNNNNNNNNNNNNNNNNNNNNNNNNNNNNNNNNNNNNNNNNNNNNNNNNNNNNNNNNNNNNNNNNNNNNNNNNNNNNNNNNNNNNNNNNNNNNNNNNNNNNNNNNNNNNNNNNNNNNNNNNNNNNNNNNNNNNNNNNNNNNNNNNNNNNNNNNNNNNNNNNNNNNNNNNNNNNNNNNNNNNNNNNNNNNNNNNNNNNNNNNNNNNNNNNNNNNNNNNNNNNNNNNNNNNNNNNNNNNNNNNNNNNNNNNNNNNNNNNNNNNNNNNNNNNNNNNNNNNNNNNNNNNNNNNNNNNNNNNNNNNNNNNNNNNNNNNNNNNNNNNNNNNNNNNNNNNNNNNNNNNNNNNNNNNNNNNNNNNNNNNNNNNNNNNNNNNNNNNNNNNNNNNNNNNNNNNNNNNNNNNNNNNNNNNNNNNNNNNNNNNNNNNNNNNNNNNNNNNNNNNNNNNNNNNNNNNNNNNNNNNNNNNNNNNNNNNNNNNNNNNNNNNNNNNNNNNNNNNNNNNNNNNNNNNNNNNNNNNNNNNNNNNNNNNNNNNNNNNNNNNNNNNNNNNNNNNNNNNNNNNNNNNNNNNNNNNNNNNNNNNNNNNNNNNNNNNNNNNNNNNNNNNNNNNNNNNNNNNNNNNNNNNNNNNNNNNNNNNNNNNNNNNNNNNNNNNNNNNNNNNNNNNNNNNNNNNNNNNNNNNNNNNNNNNNNNNNNNNNNNNNNNNNNNNNNNNNNNNNNNNNNNNNNNNNNNNNNNNNNNNNNNNNNNNNNNNNNNNNNNNNNNNNNNNNNNNNNNNNNNNNNNNNNNNNNNNNNNNNNNNNNNNNNNNNNNNNNNNNNNNNNNNNNNNNNNNNNNNNNNNNNNNNNNNNNNNNNNNNNNNNNNNNNNNNNNNNNNNNNNNNNNNNNNNNNNNNNNNNNNNNNNNNNNNNNNNNNNNNNNNNNNNNNNNNNNNNNNNNNNNNNNNNNNNNNNNNNNNNNNNNNNNNNNNNNNNNNNNNNNNNNNNNNNNNNNNNNNNNNNNNNNNNNNNNNNNNNNNNNNNNNNNNNNNNNNNNNNNNNNNNNNNNNNNNNNNNNNNNNNNNNNNNNNNNNNNNNNNNNNNNNNNNNNNNNNNNNNNNNNNNNNNNNNNNNNNNNNNNNNNNNNNNNNNNNNNNNNNNNNNNNNNNNNNNNNNNNNNNNNNNNNNNNNNNNNNNNNNNNNNNNNNNNNNNNNNNNNNNNNNNNNNNNNNNNNNNNNNNNNNNNNNNNNNNNNNNNNNNNNNNNNNNNNNNNNNNNNNNNNNNNNNNNNNNNNNNNNNNNNNNNNNNNNNNNNNNNNNNNNNNNNNNNNNNNNNNNNNNNNNNNNNNNNNNNNNNNNNNNNNNNNNNNNNNNNNNNNNNNNNNNNNNNNNNNNNNNNNNNNNNNNNNNNNNNNNNNNNNNNNNNNNNNNNNNNNNNNNNNNNNNNNNNNNNNNNNNNNNNNNNNNNNNNNNNNNNNNNNNNNNNNNNNNNNNNNNNNNNNNNNNNNNNNNNNNNNNNNNNNNNNNNNNNNNNNNNNNNNNNNNNNNNNNNNNNNNNNNNNNNNNNNNNNNNNNNNNNNNNNNNNNNNNNNNNNNNNNNNNNNNNNNNNNNNNNNNNNNNNNNNNNNNNNNNNNNNNNNNNNNNNNNNNNNNNNNNNNNNNNNNNNNNNNNNNNNNNNNNNNNNNNNNNNNNNNNUUGGAUUAAAUAGAUUUUACAAUUAAUUAAAUAUAUCUCAUGUAUCAAGUAAUAUUGAAAUUACCUUAAAAUUUUAUUUAAAUGAUAUAUAUAUAUAUAUUAAUUAACAUUAUGUUUUUAUUUAUUAUAAAAUUUAUAUUAAUAUAUAAAAUAUAUGUAAUAGAUUGUAAAAUAUUAAAAUAUUUUUUUAAUAUUGAAAUUAUUUUAGAAUUUAUAUUAUUAUAUUUAUUUUAAUAUCGUAUCUCCAUUUAUUAUAAAAUAUUGGAGUCAAUUUUUUUUUGAAUUAAUAGAAUCAAAGUAUAUUAUGGUCAAAAGAGAGUUUUGGUAUCUUUUAUUAAAAAGUUAGUGGUCUUCAUGAUUAUUACUCCAAACUUUAGGGGUGUCAGUGUCUUUUUCCCUAAUUAUUAUAGUAAUAUAAAUUUUUUUUUUCAUAUUGAUCCUUAACAAAAUUUUGUAUAACCUUUGUCGAAACAACAGUUAAUAUUCAUAUUAAUUUAGAAACAUUGAAUUUUGUAUUAAAAAAUUACUCAAGUUAAAAUAAUGUGGUGAGAAUUUUUAUAGUAACUAAAAUUUCUGCCAAACAUAAAAUUUAAACAGAAAUAAUAUUUUCUUUUUACACAGCACCUCUUAAGUUUGGGGGGAUUGUGUCAGUGUAUAAUGUGAUUGUAAGUGCAUGUGUUUGUGUUGUGUGAAUCUAUGUUAUCUAGUAUUUGUGUAUGGAUUGGAUAAUCUAAUGAAGAUAAAUUGAGUGUCAUUUAAUAAUUGUAAUUGCUAAGUAAGAACAGUGUAUAGAUGAAGGUUGAAUUUCUGUCUUGACAAUGAAGUUUUGAUUGAGUUUUAUAAGUAUGUUGUAGUAGAACCAUGAAAACAUAAAAAAGGUAGAAAAUAUCUCAAGUUUGGGAGGAAACUUUUUGUUGAACUAUGCCUGUUAUGAAAUAAAUUCCGCUCCAAUGGCUUAAGUUGCUGAGUAACCAGAGCUAAGUAUGCACCAUAUAUACAUACUUAAGUCAAAAAAACAACAAGAGCUAUGACCAUUGUUGAGUGUUAGAAAAUGCAUAUUUAUAAAGGAGAAAACCGUCAUUUUACAUUUCAAGUCUUAUUAACAACCCUUACUUUUAUGUAUUUAACCUUCUUGUGAUUUAAUUACAUGUGUUUUAUUUUAAUUAAGUAUUUUAUGUAUUUUAGGGGCAUUAUAGUCAUUUCACAAUAAACGAGAAAUCAGAUGGCAAAACGGACAUCACUUUUGAACUCAGGAUGGUCGAAAACCUUAGGAGGAGUAUAAAAGGAAAAAUGACACUGUUCACAUGUACGGUAUUGUAUACGUUACUGUUCACGACACUGUUCACAUAGACGGACCAAUGACGUGGCAUUGAUUGAUGAGGUGUCACGAUCCUGUUGGAUGUGGCGCAAUCCUGAGCGUCCAAACUGUUUUUAAUCCGAUGGCCAUGAUUUACUCCAUGUAUCUAUAAAAAGGGGGCCUCUCCCCCCUAAUUUGAUAUCUCUGAAUCCAUUUUUGGGAUCCAUUUUCUGUAAUUCCCUCUCCAUCUUGUAUUUUCUUUGUAUUUUAAUAAAUUUUCAUUUUGCCCCUAGUUCAAUUAAGAGUGGCUAAUUUUCUUGCAAGCUUGGGUUGAAGGUAAAGUUUCAACAUGUGUCAUGGGCUUAAUUUGGUAAAUUUAUUUUCUCUUCCCCUCUAAUUUUUGUGGAUGUUUUGACUUCUCGUCGACAAAUAAUAAUAAUCUUGUUUAGUACCGCCUUGGUUUCACCGGCCCCCUAGUACAAGGUUAUUAUUAUUUGGCACGAUAAGCCCUUAGCACCAUAUUGAUUAGAGCGUGGUUCAUGAGGUGUGGAUCCCCCCCUCAUGAUUUAAUUGGCAUUAAUACGGAUUAUUUAGCCCAUGAUGCAUGUUGAUACGGAUCCAGAUACCCAAGUACGUUAAUUUAAUAGAUUUUCUCUUCAAUUUAUUCUUUCCAUUGCAAUUCCAAUUUUAGAAUUUAUUCUUGUCAUUUUAAUUUAAGUAUUAGCAUAUUCCAAAUCAUUUCCACCAUAAAUCCAACUACCCAUUUACAAAAUUAAUUCUAUAUAUAAUUAAAAUCCACCUCCUCGUGGGAUCGACACUCGUCACCAUUAGUCUAUACUACAACAAAUUCGUGCGCUUGCGAGUACAUUAAAAUUUGCACAACAGCAGGUUCUGGCAAACAUUUGACUCGCCUCGCCUCGACCAGGCUUUGAGACAUUUGACCUUUUAUUUGCCUUAGAAAUAAUUUGGUAAGACAUGUCUGAAUGGAAUUCAUCACCUUAUCAUUACUGAAUGCUUAAAUAGUUACAAAAAAGUGGAAAACAUAAGCAUGUGGUAACUAUUACUACAUUAAACAUAAACAACUCAAUUGAAAUAUUAUAUGAAAUGGCUUGCUUGUUGGAAAUAUUUCCUUAAGUGCUCCGUGUUCCAUGAUUUCUUUACUUCUCGACCGUUUGGGUAUGCCAAUUUGUAAACUCCUGGACCAGUUAAACGCAUUACCCUGUACUGGCCUUCCUAAUUAGAGCCAAAGACGCCUUGGCUGGGAUAUCUCGUGCUCUAAUUCACUUUCCUAAGUAUCCAGUCCCUGGCUCGGAAUUAGCUCAUGUGCACGUUCUGGUUAUAGUAGCGCACGACCCUAUGCUGAUAUUCAAUCGUCCUCUGCGAGGCCUUUUCUCUUUUCUCAUCUAACAGGUCAAGAUACAGACACAUCUGCUUGUCAUUCUGUUCCCAUCAAAGUACUCAGUUUGGUGUGUUCCUACUCCAAUUUCUGUUUGGACCACAACUUCAUGGCCAAAGGCCAGGGCAAAUGAGGUUUCUGCUGUUGCGGUUUUGUGGGUUGUCCGACAAGCCCAUAACACACCAGGCAACUCAUCGACCCACGCUCCAUUCUUUUCCCCCAAUCUAGUUUUCAAAAGCUUUUUUAUGACCUUAUUAGCAGUCUCUAUCUACCAAUUUGAUUGGGGAUGAGUCGAAGAGCAGAAUUUCAGCUCAACACCCAAAUUUUGGCAAAAUUCCCUAAAGUUGUGGUUGUCAAAUUGCCUUCCAUUAUCUGUUAUGAGUAUAUAAGAGAUCCUAUAUCUACUUAUAAUAUUCCUCCAGAUGAACUUGGUUUUUCUUUUCCAUGAUCUGGCUUAGAGCUUAAACCUCUACCCACUUUGUAAAAUAAUCUAUCGCCACAGUAGCAUGUGUAGCAACUCCUCGUCCUUUGGGUAGGAGGCCAAUUAGGUCAACCCCCACUGUGCAAAAGGCCAUGGAGAGGACAUAACAGUAAGUUUCUCUAGAGGUUGAGUAGGGACAUUUGAGAAACUUUGGCAACUGCUGGUCAUUUCCCUUGCGUUCUGGUGCAUGGUCGGCUAGAAAUAUCUUUGCCUUAACACUUUAAAUGCCAAAAUUCUUGCUCUGGAGUGGUUACCACAUAUUUCUUCAUGUAUUUCUCGUAGCACAUAGUUUGCCUCUUCAUCAUCCAAACACUGCAAAAAAGGUAAGGUAAACCCUCGGCAGUAAAGUAUCUUAUCUAGCAGCGUAUACCUAGCCGUUCGACACUUUAGUUUUCUCACUUGCUUCAUAUCUAUCGGUAAGCUUCUGUCAUGGAUAUAUGAAUAAUUGGAUCCAUCCGGGACCCUUGAGCAUCCACCCUUAUUAUUUCUGCUUCUUACUCGAUGUUUGGAAAAGUUUUGACCUUCAUUGGGACUGACAUUGGCAGUUUUAAAUCUGCUGUUGCAGUCAUUCUAGCUAACAUAUUUGCUCGGUAAUUCUCUAUUCUUGAUAUCUACUUUAUCUCUAACCCCUGGAAUAUUCCGACCAUUUGUUUAGCCCUCCUUAAAUACAGCUCCAUUUUUUUGCCUCUUGCUUAGAAGUGUUCGUUAAGCUGAUUACAGACCAGUUGAGAAUUUGUUCAAAUCUCAAUUCUUUCAGCUCGUAAGGCAUGCGCUAGCUUAAGCCCAGUUAUGAAAGCUUCGUACUCUACUUGGUUGUUGGUCACCUGAAAUUCAAAUUUUACAGCAUAAGAAAUUUCGACCCCUUCUGAACUGCGUAUAACUAUUCCUGCUCCGGCCCCCUGCUCGUUGCAUAACCCGUCAAUCAUAAUCAACCAGACCUCGAUCGGCUCUGCCUCUCUAACUGAUUAUCCUUCGCAAGUUCUCUCACCCGGCUCGGUGCAUUCUGCCACGAAGUCAGCCAAGGUUUGUACUUUGAUGGCUGCUUAGGGUUGAUAGGUUAUAUCAAACUCACUCAACUCUACUGACCAUUUAAGCAAGCGGCCAAACGCCUCUGGCUUCAAGAGUGCUUGUUGAAGAGGCUGGUCAGUCAUUAUGAUCACUGGAUGUGCCUAGAAGUACGACCUCAGCUUGUGUGUUGCUGUUACUAAAGCCAAUGCCCAUUUCUCCAUCGUCGGGUAUCUGGUCUCUGCAUCUACUAAGGCUUUGCUAGUAUAAUACAUAGGAUGUUGUAUUCUUUCUUCUUCUCUCACGAACACUGAGCUGGUAGCCCAUUUCGAAACAGCUAAGUAUAAAUAAAACAAAUCACUUUCCCACGAUGUAGACAAUAAUGGGGCUUUAGUAAGGCAUUCUUUCAACUGCCCAAAUGGUUCCUCGCAUUCUUCUGACCACUCUAUCUUUCCCCCCUUUCUCAUAACCUAGAAGAAUGCGUGACAUUUAUCUGUUGCCCCUGAUAUGAAUCGAUUCAGUGCUGCUUGCUUUCUCGUAAGGCUUUGCACCUCUUUGAUUGUCCGAGGAGAUUUCAUCUCUGUUAUUGCGCUUAUAUGCUCUGGGUUAGCUUUAAUUCCCCGAUGGCUCACUAUAAAUCCCAUGAACUUUUCUGAGCAUACCCUGAAUGCACAUAUCUUUGGGUUAAGUUUCAUUAUGUAUCUCCUCAGUAAUUCGAAGGUUUCUUCUAAAUGCAGUAUGUGUUCCAUCGGCUCUUUAGACUUUGUAAUCAUAUCAUCCACGUACACCUCCAUAGUACACCUGAUAUAUGGCCCCUGCAUUUUUCAGACCAAAUGGCAUUUUUCUGUAACAAAACAAACUCAUGUUAGUAAUAAAUGCAGUGCUCUCCUUUUCCUACUCAUCCAUAUGUAUUUAAUUGUAUCCGGAGAGUACGUCUAUUAAAGCUAAGCAAGGUGUGGCCGGCUAUUGAGUCAACUAGCUGCUCUAUCUUUGGCAAAAGGAAGCUAUCUUUUGGACAUGCCUUGUUGAAAUCCGUGAAGUCCACACAUAUUAUCCAUUUUCCAUUUGCUAUCUUCACUAGCACUACAUUAGAAAUCCACUCCGGCUAUCUGGCUUUCCUUAUGAAUCAUACUCGUAGUAACUUCUCUACUUCAAUAUUUAUGGCUUCAUACUUUUCCUGAUUGAAGCAUCCUUUUUUUUUCUGUUUCACUGGCCUUGCCCAUUUCCUGAUUGCUAACUUAUGACAAGCGAUCUUUGGAUUAAUUCCCGGUAAAUCUUCUGUUAACAUAAAUAUUUCUUUAUUAUUGAUUUUGAUGAUAACAAACUUGAUUAAGAUUGAUUAAUCUUUUAAAAGCUCAAAAUAGUUUUCAUUGCUUUUAAAUCAUCAUUUUGACUUUAUAAAGGCUUUAUAUUCUAUGAAAAUAUUUUUGGUUAUUCUCAUGUUAAUGGUUUCAAUUGAAAAGCUUUGAGAUUUUUUAUAAUAACAAGUAUUGCUUAAAAUCCUGAAAAUAGACCUAAUUGACAAGUUUUAUAAAGUUUUGGGUUAUAGUAUAAUUUUAUAAAGUUUUAGGGUCAAAUGAUAAUUUUAUAAAAAUAGUUCACUGUAGCAGUUACUAUAGUUAACGACGAUCUGACAAUUUGAAAAUUCAGCCCAACGGUCAUAUUGACCAGUCAAACAACGAUCCGACAUCUAGUUAACGGCGAUCCGACAGUGAGCAGAAAGUCAAUAACGGCUAGUUUUCAGCUCCAACUAUAAAUAAGCUCAUUCAAAUUCAAACAAGGUUGAUCACAACACGACCAUUGAGCUUAUAUUCGAGAAUACAAUCUUCAUAGAGCUUUAAAACACAUUCUUACUUCAUCUAUUCACACAUUGGGCAUUGAUUUGUAAUCUUAAAUAUUGUGUGAGAGAAAAGCAAUUUUUUAUCUUUUACUUUUAAGUGAUUGUAAGUGUUGGGAUACACUUGGGUUAAGAGAUUGGGGAUAAUCUCUUGUUGUAAAGGUUCAUUGAUACCUUGGAAGUCAAGUGUAAGCCUUUGAAGCCUUAGAGGCUUGCUUAGUGAAAUCCUCAAGCCCAGAAAGCUUGGAGGCGUGGACGUAGGAGAUGUUGGCUGAACCACAUAAAAAUCUUCGUGUUUGAAUCUCUCUUUCCUUAUCUUUUUAUAUUGUAAUGGAUUUAAUUAUUAUUCCAUUAAAUUCAUUCUAGAUUUGCAUGAUAAUUUGUUUUAGAAUCAAAUAAUUUUUAGAAUCUCAAUUCACCCCCCUCUUGGGUUGCACACUUGUAUUUCAUCUUCGUGUGACCAGGCGAACAUGUCAACAUAAGACCUUAAACACUUUAUCUGCUCAUCCCUCAAGCUUCGGCUUAGAUUAGAUUUAAUUUUCAUAGUUCUACUCAAGUCAUCAUGUUUCAUUACCACCUCCUCUAAGGUUUCAACCGGUUCCUGCCGACUCUUCUUGAAAUCUCCUCGGUUGUCGAAUCAUGUAACUUGUAAGGUUUCCUUGGCAGCUGUGGUGUAGCGGCUCCUAAACAUCAUCUGGUCGCCCUUUACUACGCUUACUACCACAUCCACCAACCAGCCCAACUCCGAGCAAGAAGAAAAAGCAGCCAAUUGUCCCACCACAAGGCUCACCCAAGGACCGCUUGAGAAGUUCUUCCAAAAAGCAGUAAACCUUUCAGCUAGAGCUGCAACAACAUAUUCAACAACAUGGGAGUAUGGGCCAGCUCACCUUCUUUUUUUUUUUCCAAAUUAUGAAACUUUCCUUUUAUUUAUUUGUUUUUUAUUGAUCAAGUUGCAUUUUUUUGCUUGUUAAUGUAUGCGUGUUUGUUUUGGUUUUAAUUUGUGUGCUUGUGAAGACACAACCCCUCUCAAGUUUGGGGGGUGUGUUAUUAUGUAUUAUGUUUCUAAAGUCCAUGUGUUUGUGUUGUGUGUUAUGUGAAGCUCUGUUAUCUAUUAUUUGCAUGUGGAUUUGAAAACCUAAUAAAGAUAAAUUGAGUGUCAUUUAGUAAUUGGGAAUGCCAAGUAGGGAUAGUUAUAGAUAGAAGUUGAAAGUCAAUCUCAACACUUAGACUUUGGUUGAGUUUCAUGAGUAUAUUGCAGCAGAGCAAGGAAAACCAAAAAGGGUAGAAAAUAUCUCAAGUUUGGGAAAAAGUUUUGUUGAACUAUACCUAUUAUGAAAUAAAUUCUGCUCCAAUGGGGUAAGUUACUGAGUAACUAGGGCUGAGUAUGCACCUCAUAUGCAGACUUGACUCAAAAUGCAAUGAGAGCUAUGAGCAGUGCUGCAGUAACUAUUGAAAAAAAAAUAUGAUGAAGGAAUGAAAAACAAAGGGGUCCACUGCCUAGGAUACUGAGUAACCAAGUCUAUUCAUGAGCUUAAUGUUCAACCUUGAGUUAAAGGUGUCCAAAGGUAAGACCUAGAUAUAGAAUCUUGGAUGUGUUUGUUGUGGCAAAUUUGACAUGUGCUUUGAGUGAGUAAUUGGGUGUCAUCAUUACAAGUGAUAGGCAUUCGCAUGAAACCUCAAUGUUGCAUUGAAGGGUUUGAUUCAAUAAUGAAAAAAAAAACUGAGAAUGAUUGUUGUAGCACAAUGUGAAUUUAUUGCAAGACUUUUGUCUCCCCCACAAGAUGGAUUUGGUUAUAUUGUUUUAUAUCUGUAAAAUGCAUUUGAUGCUUGAGUGAUGUUGCAACAUCUCUGAGACUUGAUUAAAGUACACACACACACUUUGGAUAGAAUAAUGCCUAAGUCAAGAGCUGAACUACUAUGGCAAUUUUACAUGAUUGAAGGUGUGAUCUAAGGGUUGAAGAAUCCUUGCAAAAUUUGAUGAUAGAGCUAAGUUAUUUGUUGCAUUAUUGUAUGAUUAAAAUGUGAGUGUUGUUGUCAUUACUUGAGAACAAGUAAUGGUUUAAGUUUGGGGGUGUGAUAACUCUAUGAAAUGAGAGUUAUCAUGCUACUUUUGAGCUUAAAUCAAGAUUACUUAGAGAGUAAUUGAUGUGUUUUAGUGCAUUUUAAUGAUAGUUUACAUUAACAUUCAUUUUAGUUUAAGUUUAAUAAAGUGCGCUUGAUUUCGAAUAAUUGUGUGCUUAAAACAUAUGAAUAAUUGUAGAUGACCAGGACUUUAAAUUUCAUGGGAAGGAUAUUGUAGCAAUGGGCUUACAAAAAGGACAAAAGAAUAUAGCUAUAGAAGAAUUGAAGUAAAUCUGGAAUAGUGCAGAUGUUGUAGCCAUUGCUGUAACAACCGAUGUUGUAGCAAUUCUAAAACAACGACAGAAAAAAUCCCGCGUAAAGCAAUUAACAGAUUGUGACAUGUAGUUUCCUAAUUGGGAAAAUACAAGCUUGGGAUCUCCGUUUACCCUAAUUUUGAGCUAUAAAAUAGGCACACAUGCAAAAGAAAAGUAGGUCGUCAACCAAGAUCACAAAUCAAAAAGAAAACAAAGGAAAAACAUAUUUCAAGAACAAGAAUCAAGGCUGCACCGAUGGAGAAUUUACGGGAAUCAAUUAGAAUUCAAUCUUUCUUAUUCUUCUUGUGAUUUCUUGUUUCUUUUUUUAUAUGAGAAUGUAUUUGCCGGUCGAAUCUCUACUGUUUAGCUUUCUUUUGCAAAUCAUGAACUAAUAUUAUUUGUGGUUGAGUGAUAAAUAAAUUUAAUGGCUCAUUGACUUAAUUUAUAUGUUGUUGCAUGUUUUGCUAUAGCAUUUUGUUGUGAUAGUAUUUAUUUGAAGUCAUUAUUUCGGCUGACCACCCAUUUAAUAAUACAAACUAGGAAAGAGCCACAAAAUGGCAUAUCUAAGUGAAACACAUCAGAACAAUACUUGGUUUUAGAUUGGGUUUCCUGGGUUGAGUGUAAUGUGAGCUCAAAAAGGUCAUGCCUAAUCUAAAAUUAGUGAUGAACUAGAUAUAAGGAUUUACCUUGUAGGGUAAAUAAAACCCAAACGUGUAAUGUUAUAUCUUAUGUUGGGCAUAAUUAUUGGUCACUAUUAGGUUGUAUAUAGAUAUAAGACAUCCAAUAUGCGACAGCUAAGGAUACAUGAGGAUUCUGCCUAAUGCUGUAGCAGAUUCUGCAGCAACUGAACUGAAAUUUACAAGAAAUAGUCAAAUUUGUUAAGAGAGUUAAUCACUCAACUACUUCAUUCCCAUUGAUUUUAUCUUUGUGUUUGACGUGAGAGUUUUCUUUUCUGCAUAUUUACUUAUUGCAUUUUAUUAGGUAGUUUAUUAGUUUAAUUGUUCAAUCUAUUUUCAAUUCGAGCAAAAUUAUUAGGGUUGCUUUAGUAAUUUCCAUAACAUCAAUCCAUGUGGAUACGAUCUUCAAUACUUAUCAUUAUAUUACUUAUUGUGUACACUUGCACAUUGGCACCCAUAGCAUUUGAAUUUAUACCAACAAGUUUUUGGUGCCGUUGCCGGAUAUUGAUUGUUUAUUGAAAUUUGUGAAUUUAAUCUAAAGAGUGUUAAACCUUGAUUUUAUUUUAAUUGGCUUAUUUUGUUGAUAGGAAACUCUUGCAUGUGCAAGUACAAACCUGUUGAGUUUUAAUUUGAUCCAGAGAAUGAAAGAACUGCUGAGAGAUUAAGAAAAGAGCAUAAAAAUUCAAAAGCUGCUAUAGCAAUAGAUGACUUAGAAGAUGUGGAAAACUUGAACUCUAUAAGGGAAAUACAACCAGUUAAUAGUCGAAAAGGUCAUAAUAGACAAAAUGAUCAGGGACAAUCAGAAAACAACAUCAUAUACAUGGCAGACAAUAAUGAUAGAGCCAUUAAAGACUAUGUCGCGGUGACCCCUCAAGUUAUGCAUCCUGGAAUUGUUAGACCUGAAGUGCAAGCUGUUAAUUUCGAACUCAAACCAGUGAUGUUUUUUAUGUUGCAAACAGUGGGGCAAAUUAAUGGGUUACCUUUAGCAGACCCUCAUCUUCACCUCAAACUUUUCUUGGAGGUAAGUGAUGCAUUUAAAAUUGCUGGAGCAUCAUAGGAUGCAUUAAGACUCAGAGGUUUCUCGUAUUCAUUGAGAGAUUGGGCACGAACAUAGUUGAACUUUUUACCGCUAUGGAAUUAUUUGGCUGGAGCAUUUAAAAUUGCUGGAGCAUCACAACAUGGAAUGAUUUGGCUGACAAAUUUUUGAUGAAGCACUUUCCACCAACCAAGAAUGCGAAAUUGAGGAAUGAAAUAACAUUUUUCCAUUAACUUGAGGAUGAAAGUUUGUACGACGCAUGGGAAAGAUUUAAGGAAUUACUCAGAAAAUGUCAUCAUCAUGGUAUUCCUUGUUGUAUACAAAUAGAAACUUUCUACAAUGGGCUGAAUCCAAGUACUAGAUUAAUGGUUGAUACUUUAGUAAACAGAGCUUUAUUGUUUAAAUCCUACAAUGAAGCUUACAAAAUUUUGGAAAGAAUUGCCAACGACAAUUAUCAAUGGCCAUCAAGUAGAUAAAUUGUAAUAAGGGGAGCAACAGGAGCCCAUAAUGUAGAUGCCUUUACAGCAUUAUCAGCCCAAGUAAUUUCACUGACAAACAUUGUAAAAGCCAUGACCAAUGAUCUAGCAACUAUCCAAUAAGUUGUUCAGGUUUCUUGUGUUUAUUGUGGAGAGAGGCACUUAUUUGAUAAUUGUCCUGGAAAUUCAGCUUCAGUCAAUUAUGUAGGCAAUUAUAAUAGACAACAUCAGAGUAAUCCAUACUCAAACACCUAUAAUCUCGGAUAGAGGCAACACCCAAAUUUCUUAUGGAGUAACUAGAAUCAACCUGUUACAACAUCAAAUAGAUAGAACAGACCUGCACAGCCACUAGGAUUUCAAUAGCAAAAUCACAAACAAAGAACCACCAACAAUGAUCAACUCUGUUUUCUUGAAGCUUUGCUCAAGGAAUAUAUUGUGAAGAAUGAAGCAGAUGUCUAAAGUCAAGCUGUAACUUUGAGGAAUCUAAAAAAUUAGAUUGGACAACUUGCUACAAUAUUAAGUAACAGACCUCAGGACAGUCUACCUAGCAACAUAGAAGAUCCAAGAAGUGGAGGCAAAGAACAUUGCAAUGUGAUUAACUUAAGGUCUGGAAAAGAUGUUGAUAGUCGUAUUGGUUUCACAAGGAAAAUGAUGGAACAUAACUUAACCCAAGAGGAAAAACAAGUUAAAGAAGAGCUAUAACAGCCCAAUUUCCAACAUAUUGGUGAGAGUAGUCACGCUGCAGCAACUACAUAAAGAAGUAAUUUAGAGUUUGUUGAAGAAGAAGUUGCAGCACCAACAACAACAAACUAGACUAGAUCAAAAGAACAGCAACAUGCACUACUUGUUGCAGCCCAACAGUUUAGAUACCCACCACCAUUUCUACAAAGAUUUCAGAAGCAGAAAUAAGAUAAGCAAAUCAGCAAAUUUCUAGAAGUGUUAAAACAGUUGCAUAUUAACCUUCCUUUUGUGGAAGCAUUAGAACAAAUGCCAAAUUAUAUGAUAUUUUUUAAGGAUACUUAGCAAGGAAAAGAAUGCUUGGAGAAUUUAAAAUUAUUGCUCUAACACAAGAAUGCAGCCACAUGCUUCAAAGUAAAAUUCCUCAAAAAUUGAAAGAUCUAAGGAGCUUUACAAAAUCAUGUUCUAUUGGAACUAGGUAUAAUGGUAGAGCACUUUGUGAUUUAGAGGCAAGUAUCAAUGUCAUGCCCUUAUCCGUGUUCAAGCAAUUGGGAGUGGGUGAAUGCAGACCAACAACAGUAACUCUACAGCUGACAGACAUACCUCAUACAUAUCCAGAAGGAAAAAUUAAAGAUGUGUUAGUAAAAAUGGAUAAAUUUAUUUUUCCAGUGGACUUCAUCGUGCUGGACUUUGAAGUAGACAAAUAAGUGUCAUUUAUUCUUAGUAGACCUUUCUUAACCACUGGAAAUACCCUUAUUGAUGUGCAAAAAAAAAUUGACCACAAGGGUGAACGAUCAACAAGUCGCAUUCAAUGUGCUAGAUGCUAUGAAGAAUCUCGAUGAGAUUAAAAAUUAUAAUUUCAUCAGUGUUGUAGACAUUGCUGUGACAAAAAGAUUAAAUGUUGUUGAAGCAAAGAAAAGAUCAGAGCUGCUAACUUUCAACAGCUUGAAGAAGAGGAUACUGCAAUAGCACACAUAGUAUAGAUAGAGGAAAAGCAACCUAUAACGCAUGACAGACCUUUUGAACCUCUAGACCGCUCAAAAAGAUAAGUAAAACCAAUUGUACCAUCUGUUGAAUCACCCCUUAUUUUAAAAUUGAAAAUCUUACCUUCACAUUUAAAAUAUAUUUAUCUUGAUAAAAACAAUACACUCCCCGUAAUCAUUUCUUCGUUUUUUAAUACAGGUCAAGCGAACAGCCUAGUUAAAGUAUUAGGGAGAUACAAGAAAGCUAUUGGAUAGACCAUAACAGAUAUAAAGGGAAUCAGCCCAACAUAUGCAUGCACACAAUUUUACUGGAAGAUUGUUACAGCAAUUCAGUAGAACAACAGAGGUGAUUAAACUCAAUCAUGAAGGAAGUUGUGAAGAAGGAGAUCAUAAAAUGGUUUGAUGCUGGGAUCAUCUACCCAAUAUCCGACAGUUCAUAAGUGAGUCUAGUGCAGUGUGUUUCAAAGAAGGAUGGUGUAACUGUUGUAGCAAAUGAAAAGAAUGAACUCAUCCGUACAAGAACAGUGACUAUAUGGAGAGUUUGUAUGGAUUAUAGGAAGCUGAAUAAAGCCAUAAAAAAUAACCACUUUCCAUUGCCCUUCAUAGAUCAAAUACUGGACAGAUUUGCUGGAAAAGAAUACUACUGUUUCUUAUAUGGUUACUCAGGAUACAACCAAAUUGUUAUAGCACCAGAAGAUCAAGAGAAGACAACAUUCACUUAUCCUUAUGGAACUUUUACUUUUAUGAGGAUGUCAUUUGGCUUGUACAAUGCUCCAGCAACUUUUCAGAGAUAUAUGAUGUCCAUUUUUUCAGACAUGGUUGAGCAAACACUAAAAGUAUUCAUGGUUGACUUCUCGGUUUUUGGAGAAAUAUAUGAUGAUUGCUUGCAUACUUUAGGAAAUGUGCUUAAAAGAUGUGAAGAUACUAAUUUGGUACUAAAUUGGGAAAAAUGUCAUUGUAUGGUAUAAGAAGGUGUAUUUUUAGGACAUAGAGUUUCUAAGAAGAUGAUAGAAGUAGACAAGGUAAAAAUAGAAGUGACAGAUAAACUCCCACCCCCAACUUCAGUCAAAAGAAUUAAGAGUUUUCUAGGUCAUACUGGGUUUUACAGAAGAUUCAUCAAAGACUUUUCUAAAAUAGCUAAACCUUUAUGCACACUGCUGGAGCAUAAUAGACCUUUUAACUUUGGUGAGGAUUGCUUAAAGGCUUUUGUGAAUUAAAGAAAGCUUUUGUUACAGCACAUGUUGUCAUAGCACCAAAUUGGAGUUUACCUUUCAAACUAAUGUGUGAUGCCGUGACCACUCAGUUGGAGCAGUGCUAGGACAAAAGAAAGAAUAAGAUUUUUCACUCCAUUUACUAUGCUAGCAAAACUCGAGCAGAUGCUCAUAUCAAUUAUACAACCACUGAAAAGGAAUUGUUAGCAAUGGUCUUUGCAUUUGACAAAUUCAAAGCUUACUUGGUGGGCACAAAGGUCACAGUCUACACAGACCAUGCAACAAUAAAAUAUUUAAUUGCAAAGAAAGCUACCAAACCAAAGUUGAUAAAGUGGAUUCUUUUGCUACAAGAAUUUGAUUUAGAAAUCAAUGAUAGAAAAGGGACUGAGAAUCAAGUAGCAGACCAUCUGUCCAGGUUGGAAGUAUAUGCAAGCAUAUUAACCAAGUAAGACAUCACAGAAACAUUUCCUAAUGAACAACUCUAAUGCUACAGCAUACACAGAUGCUGCAGCAUUCUAGACUCCAAUGGUAUGUAGAUUUUGUAAAUUAUUUGGUAAGUGGACUGUUACCACCUGACUUAAAUUAUCAGCAAAAGAAGAUAUUCUUCCAUGAUAUUAAAAGUUAUCAGUGGGAUGAACCGUAUCUAUACAAGAUGUAUUCAGACCAAGUGAUCAGAAGGUGUGUAUCAGAUAAAGAAAUUCCACACAUAAUGUAUUCAUGCCAUGCUGUAACUUAUGGAGGACAUUUUGGAGGCCAUAGAACAGCAGCCAAAAUCCUACAAUCAGGUUAUUUCUGGCCGUCCAUUUUUAAAUAUGCUUAUGAGUUUGUUAAAUGUUGUGACAGGUGCUAAAGAACAGAGAACAUAUCUUAAAAACAUGAAAUGUCAUUGAAAAAUACGUUGGAGGUGAGCUCUUUGAUAAAUAGAGGAUAAACUUUAUAGGUCCAUUCCCACCACCCCUUAGAAACUUAUAUAUUCUAAUUGUGGUAGAUUAUGUGUCCGAAUGGGUGGAAGCUAUAUCAUUACCAACAAAUGAUGCCAAAGCAGUGGUAAAAUUUCUUCACAAAAAUAUCUUCUCAAUGUUCGAGACUCCAAAGGAAAUCAUUAGUGAUGAAGGCACUCAAUUUUGCAAUAGGAUGUUUGCGGCAGUAUUGGCUAAGUAUGGAAUUAAACACAAAAUUGCUACAGCAUAUCAUCCACAAUCCAAUGGUCAAGCAGAAGUAUCUAAUCGAGAGAAAAAAAGGGUUUUGAAGGAAGUGGUGAA
rnacentral:lncRNA from 1 species